GCAUUUACUUGCAAACCGGUAAUCUCAAGUUUGAACUCCCACGACACCUUUACAGUAUGUAUUUGAGAAACCCCCAUCCCUCUUGUAGUUUAAAAACUCCCCCCUACCUUGCUCUUGUACUAAAAAAACAAAUUGAACAUAUGCAUUUUAAUUCGAACAAAGCGAGUCAUUUCAAGACAUUCCUCUUUCGAAUUUGUAAACUUUACCAUUUUCUUCUGCAUCUUGUUAACCCAAAAUACUAGAACAUGGAAUGUGAGUGAAAAAAGCACCAUCCAAUUCACGGACUUUAAAAUCACAUGGCAUUGUCAAGCGACAAGGUGAGAAUUCAUAUUUGAAAAAGCACCAGACUCAUAGGCUAGGGCAAAUCAAAUCAAACAGCCCAUAACCGUGCAUCAACAAGAGCCUUUUCCCCUUGGGAUUUUUUCUUUUUGUUUUCCCCUCCAGACAAAAAAUGUUCAUAAUAUUAUUUUUUUCAUAAAUUACAUAUGCAUCUGGUGUUUACCUAGAUUCCGAAUUCUUAACUUUUAUUGUGCCUCUGUUUCUUUUCUUUUCCUCCCUUCUUAAGCUCCGGUCCCUUCAUGUUCUUCCAACCAACUUUUUCUUCUCCAACAGUCACGAGUAUAGCUAGUUUUUAAUAGCAAAAUUUGUCGGAAAAUGAAAUCAAAAGCAAAAAUAAAAAAUAAAAAAUAAAAAAACGUACAUGUUGGGGUUUCAUCUAUAUAUAUAAAGCAAAAGGCAGAGAAUGGUGAAACAUUCAAAAUACCAGAAAAUGUCAUUGGUUAAUGUAAACAUUAAGAAUUCAAAUUAUUAAUUAAAUGAGAAUAAUAUGGUAAAUUCAUACUUUUUCAUAUUUAAAAAAAGAAAAAAAAAAACAGAUAAUAGAUCCUAUUUUUAUAGAACACAACUACCUAUUAUCUUUUUUAAUUCUAAAAUAAAUUUUUUUUUUUUAAAAAAAAGCCUCUAGUAAAUGCGAAAACGCGUGCGAAGAAGCUAGUGAAUUUAUGAGAUCGAACACUUUCUGUAACUGUAAAUGUUCAGAUGAUUAGAUCUCCACUCUGGCGUAGGGUUUUUCUUGUUUGACCGACACACAUUUUGACAUAUUCUUGCUCCUUAAAACGCAUAAAAGAGUACGUGGAAAUUCAUUCUUAAUUUCCUGAAAUAAACUUAAUCAUAUACAACAGUUUUCUUGUCAGAAAAUCAAAAUGACAAAAUUAUAUGUAUGUUAUAAUGUUGUUGUGUGCGGCCCCAUAUGAAUAUUAUAAUUUUUUCAAUUCCACGUUGCUCCCUCAAUUUACCCCCUCCUUGGCCCGUCUCCUCCUGUCCUUCCUUGGGAACUUACUUUCACGUGAUUCUGAGCUUUCCAGUCCGACACCUGCUACCCCUGCGCUCCUCUUACAUCCUUUUGUCACCUUCUGCAGUUCCUUGCUCUUCUUUCUUCUCAUAUUUUUAUGUUCUCUGUAAAACACAAAACAGGGCACCCUCUGUUUCUUCAGUUCAACAAUGCUCAAGAAAUGGCAACCCCUUCUUUUGUCAACCAUUGUUCUGCUUUCACUCUGCGCCUCCACAGUUUCUUCUUCCAGGCCUGCACUCACUCAAUCACCCUCUGUCUCAGACGAUGAUGUUGUUUCUCUCCUUGCAUUCAAAUCCAAAGCAGAUUUACACAACGCUCUUCCCUUCUCGUCAAACACCACCACCCUCCAGCUUUGCCGCUGGACAGGUGUCCAAUGCGCCCAGUCCAAAAUAGUCCGUCUCAUAAUCCAAUCUCAGAAUCUCGGUGGCAUUUUCGCACCCAACACCCUGACUCGCUUAGACCAACUCAGAGUCCUGAGUCUGCAAAACAACUCGCUCACUGGACCCAUCCCCGACCUCUCUGGCCUCACCAACCUCAAAACCCUCUUCCUCGACCGCAACUCCUUCGUGGGUUCUCUUCCGCCUUCGCUCUCGUCCCUCCACCGCCUCCGAACCCUCGACUUCUCCUUCAACAACCUCACCGGUCCAUUGCCCGCCUUUCUCAUCACCGGUCUAGAUCGGCUCUACUAUCUCCGGCUCGACUGGAACCGGUUCACCGGACCGGUCCCGGCUCUGAACCAGUCGUCUCUCCGAACCUUCAAUGUCUCCGGAAACAACCUUACCGGGGUAAUCCCCGUCACUCCGACCCUUCUACGGUUCGGGCCGACGGCGUUUUCAUGGAACCCAGGUCUCUGCGGCGAGCUUGUAAACAAAGAAUGCCACCCAGCUGCGCCUUUUUUUGGUCCAACCCCAGCUCAUGAAGCUCCACCUCCCACAAGAGCACUCGGGCAGAGCACUGCACAGGAAGUCCAGGGCGUUGAGUUGACUCAGCCGAGUCGAAAAAGGCACCGAAGAAUCGCCGUCAUUAUUGGGUUCUCUUCAGGCGUCUUCGUCUUGAUCUGUUCUCUUCUAUUCUUCGUAAUGGCUUUGAAGAAACAGAGGAAACCUCAAACCCACCGGAAGACCGACAUUGCCAGUCCGGCAGGCUCCGAUGCGCAUGCGGCGGUAGUGGUGCAACUAGAGGAGGAGUUAGAGCAGAAGGUGAAGAGGGUACAGGGGAUUCAAGUGGUGAAGAGCGGGAGCUUAAUGUUCUGCGCCGGCGAGUCGCAGCUGUACUCGCUGGACCAACUGAUGAGGGCCUCGGCGGAGAUGUUGGGGAAAGGUACCAUCGGGACGACGUACAAGGCGGUGCUGGACAACCGUCUGAUUGUGAGCGUGAAGAGGCUGGACGCCGGGAAGUUGGGCGGGACUAGCAGAGAGGUGUUCGAGAGGCACAUGGAGGCGGUGGGCGGGCUUAGACAUCCCAACUUGGUUCCUCUCAGAGCUUAUUUUCAGGCCAAGGAUGAGCGGCUCCUCGUCUACGAUUAUCAGCCCAAUGGCAGCCUCUUCUCUCUCAUUCACGGUAAAUGCUCUGUUUUGCUCUGCUUCAAUCUUCAUUUUGCUUACUCGGUUGUGUUAACUCAGUUUGAGUUUGACCAAUGUUUGAUGCUUUGACUAUUUUGUGAAGUAAAGAAUUUGGGAAACCCAAUAGGAAAUGGACACGUAAGCUUUUUGGGUUAUCAUUAGGAGAAUUGGAUUAUGAAGACAUUGUGGUGAUGACAUUAGAUUUGGUUGUUUCUUGAGGUACCUUUUUCUCAAUCAACGCCGAGAAUCUUUGCUUUUGAUUAAGACGACGACGUCGUUGGGAAUUGACAUGAAUAAUAAUAUAUUGACCAUAUUGUUGGCUCGCUUGCCCAAUUCACAUUACUUGCUUAACCUUUUCUUCAUAAAAAAAAUUGACAGAUUUUGGAUUUUCUCAUUCUUUUUCUUUCCCCCCUUGGCUGGUUCCCGUGAUUCCAUAUAGAUAUGAUAAGGAAAAACUGACUGCUUAAUUUGAUCUUACUGGCCUUUUGUUUAUAUUUUCAAUCCACCAACCCCUCAAUCUAUGUCAUCAACACUCUUUGAUUCGAUAAAUUUUGUAUGCGUACAUAACAUGGCCACGUUGUUCAUCUCAUGUAGCGUAUAUGCUUAAUAAAUAUACACAUAUUAUAAUAUGAGUAGAUUAAGUGGUGUUACUGCCACACUGAAAAAAUCGUCCGUUGACUAUGUUUUCUUUGUUUGAGUAUGGUAAUUUCUACACUAAAAUUGUCAGUGCUGUUUUCCAGAGGGAGGGAUUGGCAUGCAUUACAUCCAUUUCCAAGUUAUUGCUAAUUAGCAUCCUAAAAUUAAGUUCCUUAUAAUGAAUGUGCUACAUGGGCACGUCCAAAAUUGAACUGCAGGAACAAAAUCCACAAGGGCAAAGCCGCUGCACUGGACAUCAUGCUUGAAAAUAGCAGAGGACGUGGCACAAGGCCUCUCCUACAUUCACCAAGCAUGGAGGCUUGUCCACGGCAAUCUCAAGUCCUCCAAUGUCCUCCUUGGCCCUGACUUCGAGGCAUGUCUCACCGACUACUGCCUCUCUGUUCUUGCCACCACCACCCUAACAUCCGAGGAGGAGCCAGAUUCUGCUGCUUACAAAGCCCCCGAGAUUCGCAUAAACUCAUUGAACGAUCACGAUGAUCAUCAACAAAAGCACCAACCAACUUCAAAGUCUGAUGUCUAUGCAUUUGGGAUUUUGUUGGUGGAGCUUCUCACAGGGAAGCCUCCAUCACAUCACCAAGUUUUGGUGCCCACUGAUAUGGUGGAAUGGGUCAUGUCCAUGAGGGAAGAUGAUCAGCAUGAUCAAGAUGGGGAAGGCAAUAGCAGGAUGGGGAUGCUGGUAGAGGUGGCCAUAGCUUGUAGCUCAACAUCGCCUGAGCAGAGGCCAACAAUGUGGCAGGUGUUGAAGAUGUUACAGGAGAUUAAAGAGAGUGCAUCCAUGGAAGAUGACAAUGAAUUAAUGGACCCCCAGAUUGUGACUGGUGUGCCCUAGCUAGUUAGGGUUACCGCUGUACCAAACUAGGAGUAUUAAUUAAUUAUUUUAUAGAAAAGAAAAUAGAUGGAGCACACAUGCUAGCUAUAUUAUUAAUUCUUACUUUUUUCUGCAGCAUUGUUUGUGAUCUUUACCUUUCAUAUGCAUGGUGGAUGGAGGCACGUGUUUCUCCUUGCCCAUUUGUUUUUGCUGCAUUGUAUACGUAUAUAUGGUCAGUCUGGCAAGGACCACUCUUCUCAUUCAGCUUUUGUCUGCAAGAAAAAUGCCCUAAUUGAUAAGAUAUUGCACACUUUUGUGCUUACCCACUUUGAGUGGCAUGUAUAAUGUAUUUGUAGCGUUUCAUCGUAAUUUUGAGGACUUUUUUUUUUAAACAUGACAACUGCUUUUGGAACUCAGCUUGCUCCUCAGUUUUAGGUGUGUCUAGGAAGUUAGAUUUCAUAAACUAAGGAAAUAAAAUGCAUAUAAACUGAAGCCACAGGAAUGGGCAUAUGCAUAUGAUUGCUUCUUGUAAUUUAUAAACUAAAUGAUAAGGAGCCUAUCUGAUGAGAAGCAUAGAAUGGGAUUAUAAUGUUCGAUAUAUUAUUCCACAACUAGGUUUACAGCUUUUAUACAAUGAUUCAGUCAUUAGUAUCCUAAACUAUCACCUAUAACCAAGGCUUGAUCAGAGACUAAAUAAGGAAGCAAAUAACUACAGUAUCAAUUUACAAUAUUGCCUAAUUAAUGGAGAUAUCUUCCUUAACACUCCCCCUCAAGUUGGAGUGUAUGUUAAUGACACCCAACUUGCUAAGUAAGACUUCAAACUGCGUUGAACUCAACGGCUUGGUGAAUAUAUCAGCUGGUUGAUCACUUGUCCUUAUGUAAGCCGUGCGUAUCAUUCCUUCUUGAAUCUUCUCUCGUACUAGAUGACAAUCGAUCUCUAUGUGCUUCGUUCGUUCAUGGAAAACAGGAUUUGAAGCGAUGUGUAAUGCCGCUUGAUUGUCACAAAACAGGUUGGCUGGUUGUGGGUGUUUCACUCCUAGAUCUUUCAGAAUAUUCUUCAGCCAUAUGAUUUCACAACAUGUGGUGGCCAUAGAACGGUAUUCAGCCUCUGCACUAGAACGAGAUAUAGUUGUUUGUUUCUUAGUUUUCCAGGAAAUAGGUGCUUGACCAAGCAAAACACAGUACCCCGUUAUCGACCUUCUAGUAUCUCUACAUCUAGCCCAAUCGGCAUCACAAAAUGCUUGUAAUUGUAAUGAACCCGUGGAAGGGAGAAAAAUUCCUUGUCCAGGUGCUUGUUUAAUGUACUUGAGGACCUUGUGUGCAGCCUCAAGAUGUGGUUGCCGAGGUUUCUCCAUGAAUUGACUUAGCAUGUGGACAGCAUAAGCCAAGUCAGGCCUUGUUAUUGUCAAGUAUAUUAACCUGCCCACAAGCCUUCUAUAUGAUGAAGGAUCAUUCAACACCUUUCCUUCCAUUUGUGUGAGAGACAAAUUUUGAUCCACAGGAAACCGUGAAGGCUUAACUCCUAGAAACCCAGCAUCAUCCAAUAUUUCUAGUGCAUAUUUUCGUUGACAUAGGGUAAUUCCACGCUUUGAUCGUGCAACUUCUAUGCCCAAGAAAUAUUUGAGUUCCCCCAAGUCUUUCAAUUUGAAAUGGUGAGAUAGAAAUUGCUUGGUUUCUUCAAUUUCAUGCAGAUUAUUCCCUGCUAGUAUCACAUCAUCAACAUAGACUAGUAAAGCAAUGAAGUUACCAUGACGACUUCGGACGAAUAAUGAAUAGUCGGACCAUGAUUGAUGAAAUCCAGCAGCCUUGAGAGCAUUGGACAACUUGAUGAACCAUUGUCUCGAAGCUUGCUUUAAACCGUAGAGGGAUUUAUUUAAUUUGCAUACUCGAGUCUCCCCCUUUCGUCCGAAACCAGGGGGCAAGGUCAUGUAUACAUCCUCUUCGAGAUCACCAUUUAAAAAGGCAUUGUUCACAUCCAGUUGAUGGAGGUGCCAACCUUGCACAGCAGCCACGCUAAGGAGCACGCGAACUGUGGUUAACUUAGCCACCGGAGCAAAAGUUUCACGGUAAUCAACACCUUCAAUUUGACUGUAACCUUUUGCAACGAGGCGUGCUUUGUACCGUUCAAGAGUGCCAUCAGGUUUGAGCUUAAUUUUGUAAACCCAUUUACAGCCAAUGGGACGUUUAUGCAACGGCAAAGGCACGAGGGUCCAUGUAUGAUUGGCCUGAAGGGCAGCAAUUUCAUGCUGCAUGGCAGCACACCAGUUUGGAUCUCGGACAGCCUGCGAGAAACUAGUGGGUUCCUUAAGGAGGGUGAGAUUAGCGGUAUAGGCUUUAUGGUGGGGUGAGAGACGAUCAUAAGAUAAAUAAGUGGAGAGAGGAUGGGAAGUACCUGACGAAGACUGAACCACGUUCGUAGAAGAUGUGGGAGCAGACCGGGACGGGAGAGAGACCUCGAUAUGAAAGUCCUGCAAAAAAGAAGAGGGUUGGGUAGGUCGUGUUCCACGCCGGGGUGGGGUUGGCAGGACGGUUGGCGAAACGGGUGGUAGGCUGAGGGGUGUAGGGUCCGGAGACGAAGGAGGCACAGGGAUGGAUGUAAGUGCCGAAGAGGGGGAAGGUGAAGGUAGGGAAGCGAUAGGGGAAAUUGGAGAGGAAGGUGCAGGGGGAUCGUGUGACAUAGGAGAUGUGGCAGGAAAAGAGUCCAGAUCAAAGUACGACAGGGAGGCGGGUGGAUUGGGGGAUUGGUUAUGAGCAGCGGAAACAUCGGAGUGAUAAGGGAAUUGGUCUUCAAAAAAAAUCACGUCCCGUGAUACAAACACUUUGUGGAGUUGGAGAUCAAAUAACCGAUAGCCCUUUGUACCAUAUGGGUAGCCAAGGAAAACACAACGACGGGCACGGGGAUCAAAUUUUGAAGGUUUGUGUGCGUGAGUGGAAGCAAAACACAAACAGCCAAAGACUCGUAAAUGUGAGUAAUUGGGUGCUUUGUGGAACAAUUGUUCAUAAGGUGUUUUCCCGUGAAGAAGGGGUGUGGGUGUGCGAUUAAUAAGAUAGGCUGAAGCAAGGAUGGCGUCCCCCCAAAAACAUUUUGGCAUGUUGGCUUGAAAGAGUAGAGCUCGGGCAACAUUGAGUAAAUGGCGAUGCUUACGUUCAGCAACACCAUUUUGUUGUGGUGUGUGAACGCAGCUAGUUUGAUGGAUGAUACCUUGUGUGGCAUAAAAACUGGCAAGGUUAAAUUCGGGACCAUUAUCGCUUCGAAUCAUUUUGACUUUGGUGUCGAAUUGAGUUUCGACCAAAUGGAUGAAUUGUACAAGGAGCUGUUGUGUGUCAGAUUUGUGUUUCAUCAAAUAAAUCCAUGUGCUCCUACUGUAAUCAUCAACGAUAGUAAGAAAAUAUUUUGCACCAGAAAUAGAAGGGACAUGAUACCCCCCCCAGAUAUCAACAUGUAUCAAUUCAAAACAUGAUUUAGUGGAUAUAGAACUCAAUGAAAAUGGUGCUCUUGUUUGUUUGGCUAAUGGGCAGAUGACACACUUAAUAGAAUCACAAGAUUUAUGUUGAAAACAAGGAAAUAACUUGGAAACAGUUUGUGAUGGAUGUCCUAGACGUUGAUGCCAAAGGUGAUGGUUGGAUGUUUGAAUGGCAUUGCAUGUUCCUUUCUUUGGUGGAUCGAGAUAGUAUAGUCCCUCCCGUUCAAUUCCCGUCCCAAUCAUCUUCCCCGAGCGUAGGUCCUGUAUGACACAAACUUGUUUUAGGAAGAUGGUAAUAUAAAGGGAAUCAUGUGCAAGCUUGCUAAUGGAUAUCAAAUUUAAUUUGAAAAAUGGUACACACAAAACAUUAUUGAGCACAAGGUUGGGAGAGAAGACAACUUGUCCAAUGUGGGUAACUGUGGCAAGGGAACCAGUGGGUAGUUCUACGGUAUGGUUUGCAACAGACCUCGACGACGUGAGACAAUGAGGACUGCAAACAAUAUGGUCCGUUGCACCACUAUCCAAGAUCCAAACAUUUGUUAUGCCAUUAUACAUGAAGGAAAAAGCUUUACCUGAAAGUUCUUCAUUAUUCGAAGAAUUACCAACUUGAUUUGCAAAGGAGGAUCUGUUUUUGCUCAACAUUGCGAGCAUCUGCUUGCAAUCUUCUUGAGAAAAAGGAAAGUUUGGCAUAGGAAAGUUUGGCAUCCCGUCCUUUUUUUCGUGCACGGCAACUUGGUUACCCUUGGAAGUGGAUGAGCGACUUUGUUCAGCUUCAGCAGCCGCUUUGCGUUUGCGGCAAUAUUCGAAGGAAUGACCUUUCCACCCACAGAAGGUGCACUUGAGAUGAGCACGGCAGUUUUGGGUGCUGUGAUUUGUCUUGUUACAUUUUCCACAGCGAAGACCACCAUCCUCUGGUGCAGUUUCUCGGCCACUAUUCUUCACAGCAAAAGCUGCCGCUUCAGAAGAGGGAGUAUGCUUUCCACUUGAGAUUUCUGCUUGUCUCUCAUGGCGAAGAACAAGAGAGUAGGCCUUGUUCACUGUGGGUAAAGGCUCAAGAAGAAGGGUAUUACUACGAACAGUGGAAUAGGAAUCAUUUAAACCCAUGAGAAAUUUCAUUGUUUUCUGGGUUUCAACAUAAGAAGUGAUUUCCUUCUUUGUAUCACAACUACAUGCAGGGAUGGAGCACAGCACGUCACGUUCGUCCCAUAGGCCUUUUAAUUUGGUGAAAUAUGAACUCACCGUCAUGUUACCUUGCACACAGUCAUGAAUCUCGUUUUCUAUGUGAAACAAUUGAACGAUAUUCACAUGAGAAAACCUUUCUUGCAAAUCGAGCCACAUUUGCCGUGCAUCCUUGCAGUUGAUAACGCUACCUGAAAUUUCUUUUGACAUGGAUCCUAAGAGCCACGUCUUAACCAAGUUAUUGCAUCGAUUCCAUUGCUGCAAUUCUUCAUGUUCAUCUUCAUUUGGCUUCUUGACCGUCCCAUCAACAAGCCCUAAUUUGUUUUUGACCGUUAAGGCCAUGGUCAUGGAUUGAACCCAUGUACUAUAAUUGUCUUCCACCAAUGACUGUGGCACAAGUACUGCACCAGGCUGGUCCGAAUAGUGGAGAUAGAGUGGAUGAUUAGGACUCUCCCACCUUGAACGCGAAGUCAUGCCUGAGGAGGUUGACUUCAUGUCUGCGCUAUCAACCAUGGCUAUGUUUGCUAGGUUGUUUUGGGUGUUUGUGUGUUUGCUUUUAUUUUCCCAGAUAUCUAUUGCUCUGAUACCAUGAUGAGAAGCAUAGAAUGGGAUUAUAAUGUUCGAUAUAUUAUUCCACAACUAGGUUUACAGCUUUUAUACAAUGAUUCAGUCAUUAGUAUCCUAAACUAUCACCUAUAACCAAGGCUUGAUCAGAGACUAAAUAAGGAAGCAAAUAACUACAGUAUCAAUUUACAAUAUUGCCUAAUUAAUGGAGAUAUCUUCCUUAACACUAUCAACUUAUAAAUUCAAUUGAUGAAGGUAGGUGGGCAUGAAUGCAGUACAUAACUGUGUUUCGUAAUGGGCUUGUAAUCUGAGUGGUUUAGAAUGUCCUUGGUGCAUCCGAAAUCAUGUGUUCAAUUCCCAUCCUGCACCGUGUUUAAUUCCAUUCUUUCCCUGAUAUCGCUGAUAUUAUAUAUAAUUAAAAAAGAAAAAUUUAAAGAAAGAAAACUGAUCUACAUGAUUGUUGAAAAAUGUGUACUGGACUGGAAGCUGUUAUAUGGGUCAUCCAGCGAAAGAAGCCCAAAAUGUAAAGAGGCCUGGAAAAGAAUGAGCUGAACUGAAGCCCAUAACAUCAAAACAUCAAUCACUGAGACAUGGCGAUGAAGCCUACCGUAACGUGAAGAAUUUGCUAGAAUCGUCCAGUUUUCAGAGGUUCUUCAUUUUUUACCAAAAAUAUAUCAAAAAGAAAAUCUGCAAUCGGCGUACAAGCAUCAUUAAGAGAACAGAGAAUGACAACAUGAACAUGGACCGUACGGACGCGGAGAUGAUGGAGAUGGAGACGACGGCGAUUGGGCAGCCGGAGCUGCCGUCCGACGCCGGCCAAGGCGACGUCUUAAGGGACUUUCUCGCAUUGGCUCGCCAGCUCCUCAAUCAAGGCAAGCCAUCGCAGGCCCUCCAAGCGGUAAUCUUUAACUUCAUCAAGUUUUUAUUUUCUCCUUCAUCACCUUCAAUUUUUCUUCGGUUUGAUUUGUAUUGUCCAUAGAAAUGGAAUGGCAUUGAUUUAAUUUUUAAUUUUGUGAGUUUUUAGCAUCUCAAAUCACUGAAGUGCUACUCUUUAUUGAAAAAGAAUCUCUUUCUUUUGGUUGGUCUUCUUAGGGUUUGUACUGUUUUGCUAAAAGUGACUGGUUGUUGACAACAUUGGUUCUUCCUAUUGGAUUUUCAAAACUCAACACGAGUGGCUGCCUUAAAUGGUUAGAUAGGAAAAGAGAAUUAUCUUACUUCUUAUUUCCAGUGCCUAACCAUCCAUCCCUAUAGUACUGAACAACUGGCAAAAUGGCAGUGUUGGAAACUAGGAUAGUUAUGGAGUUUGGGGGGUUGUCAUCCCAAUUCCCAAAUGUGAGGCAAACCCUAAAUUUAAUGUUGCAUUUGUAGUCAUGCAUUUGGAAGAAAAGAUUUGGAUUGGAGCUUUUAGUGUAAAUUGAUUGGCAACAAUUUGAACACUUUUUACUGAUGAAAACCAACUGUGAAAUUGAACUUUUUUUCUAAGAAGCUCAAUCUUUGGUCCAAAACCCCUCUAAGAUGCAUGACGCUCUCCGAAGGUUCUCCUGAGAGUUUAGGGUUAUCAUUUGCUUAUUCAUCUAAUCUUGCGUGGGGCUUUGGUCUGGUAAAGCCCUGUCCAGAUGCGAUCCUUGGGUACUUUUUGUUGUGUGCCUAUAUGGAGACACUGCUGCAUUCAUAAUAAAAGCAUUGAGCUGCUAUGAGGAGAUGACAUAUGUACGUUGUUGGAAGCCUUAAGAAUCAAGAGGAAGCUGUCCAUGGAGAACCUUCGUCACAUACUAAUUUAGUAUUUGGAACAGGUUGUUAUGGCAAUGAGAACAAGAGGUGGGGAUGAGGCUGUAUUUGAGUCCUUACAUCGUGCUCGUGAGCUGUACAGAAGUAGAUUGCAAGAAAGCUCUGCUGUUGAUCAACUAGCUUCUUUGUUUGCUGAGUGUGCAAUUGCUGAAGUCCAUCCUUCCAAAACUGAACCAGCAGCAGGUGACGAGGGUGGCCCGUCAGUUGGACUUGGACCUGAUGCUGAAGGAACUUCUAUACUAGCGGAAAGUGGCAGGAUGCAGAUUGUAUUGGAUGCAUUUUCAGAUGGGAGUAGCUUCAUUUGUUUACAGUGUGGAGGUCUUGUUAGUAAUCAUCGCAAAGACGAGCACUAUGCAUAUUGGUGUGGCCAAACUUAAUGUGCACAUGCAUGGAGUGAAUAUAAGCCCUCUUCUGCGAUGCUCCUAUAGAUGCAUAUGAUAUGUGCCUCUGUUGAUAUGCAUCUGCGAUGCUCCUGAUGCAGAUUCUAGUUGCUCUUGAUUCCAGCUUCUCUAAUGGCCGCAUUGUUAGAUAUUGACUCAUAGGAAGCAGAACAUAUGAAUAUUUUGGUUUAGGAUAUGAAGAUCUUGUUUCAGUUGGAUUGGAGUAUAUUGAUAAAAUUUGUUCCCUAGUAUGAUUAGUUUGGAAUCAUGUAAUACUUGUAGCAAUCACACAUUUUCACAAGGAAAUAGUUAAUGAACAAAUUGGACAGAUGAUGUUGCAUACUUCUGUUUUCUUUUUGUAUAUAAAUGGUGUUCUAAUCAAGGCCGCCAAAGUAUGAUUGCAUGCAUGUGUCGAGAAUAUAAAUGAAAAGGAAAAUAAAAUUAAGAAAAUGGCAGAGGAGCCUCUAGUUUGAUUCAAUACCUUUUUAUUACAAAUAGGCAUACAAGAAGCAAUCUUUCCAAUAGAACGACUAUAAGGCUUGCACAAAGAAAAAAAAAGAAAAAAAGAAUCUACAAAAGAAUUUCCCUUUCGUCGAAAACUGUGAUGCAACAGAAAAUGCUACAUGGUGUCAAAUGUUGUGCGUACACACAAUAAACAUUCUAAAGGCUAAGCCCAAAAAGUUACAAAUUUGUCCUGGAAAAGGAAAAAAACGCAGACCCCUUUAUACAUAUUUCUGUAACUUGAAGGAUUUCCUCUCAUGUUGUGUUGUUAUUAACAGAAAUGUACUAUAACAUCAGAUGGCUCGAUUUCUUCUUUCACCAGUAUACCACCACUUGCAGUUUUGCACCGUUGGUGUCGUCUUCUAGCUAGCAGUAUAUCAUCGGCAGCAUCAACACAGCUUUACAAGAUGCUCCGAGUGCAGUAACCAUUGCAAAAUUUUCGAUAACAAACCUAUGCUUUCCAAAAUAAACUCAUCCAUGACCGUAGCAAAGAUCCUCAACAGCUACUUAUAGCACACUGCAUUAUUUUAAAAGUCAAAGUAGGUCAAUCACUGUGCUGAACUAUCCUGUUGAACGAACUGAUCCGCAGUCAUGUACUAGGCACUUACGAGAUUCUCGAAGUGCCAAAUACACUUCAGAGAUCUUACUGCUACAAAGUACAUAUUUCUACAUUUUUGUCAGUUGUGUAACUGGAGAUAUUAUUUGAUACAUAUGAGAUUCUUAAUCGUAAUUUUAUGGUACCUGCACUUGAUUAUCUGUUUUCCCAUGCCAUGCGUUGGGAUGAUACUUAGGUCAAAGAUGAAAUUUGGGCAACAAAAGGCUGGUGACUGCAGAACAUCACAUCACAUCUGACCGAGCUUGUAAACGAGGUUUGGCCCUCAUGAUUGUUUCAUCACUGUGCCUAAUCCAUUCUGAGAGUCUCCAAGGCUUCUGCCAUUUCCAUUUGAAUUGUACUAACCACUGGUGAUGACUCCUCUUCCACCUCCAUAGCUUCCCAGCCUGUCCUAUAACUGCUAGUUUUUUUGUUGGCAACUGCCCGAUGGGUACCAUCUGCACUAACAGCAAAUCCCGUUUUCUUAGUUUUCUUAGCUGAAAACAGAAAACAGGGCCCAAUUCUAUAAUUGAAAGGAGGAUGAAAUUGACCUUUCGUGUCUGAUCUAUGAAAGCUAUCGAUUCUCUGACAGAGCCGUUAACAAUUCCUGCUGUAUAUUUCAGCUGUUUUUGUGCUGGCACAGAGAUUGGGGACAAGGGACCACUCGUGUCAUCAGCACAGUGUUUCAGUGAAUUGUGCGAGUUCCCCUGAUGGUGGUCGGCCUAAAAGACAUAAAGACAUAAAAACAAUCCUUCACAUACUUGAGCCAAGCUUAAGAAGAGUAUGAGAAGAAGCAUUAGAAGAAAUAUCACAUAAUGACUAAUAUUCUCACCGAGGCUGAUGUUGCCAAUGCAGUUGCAACAGCUUGCUCUCUCAAUUUUAGUUCCUUCUCAACUUCCUUUCUUCGUGUCUCACUCUGCCGCAACAAACCUACGAGUUCUUUGAGAUGCUCUUUCAUUUCAUCCAUUUCCAUUUCUUUCUCCCAUAAUUGGCACCUGUCAGCAUGUGAAAUGAUACUUAGAAUUUCAACUGCAGAAUUUAAAUAUCACUCACACGAUAAUUUGCAAGAAAUAUGCAACGUGGUAGUAAAAUCUAUUAAGUUGUGAAUUUUCUAAAGUAUACUUAAAUAUGACAGCAUGAUCAAUUUAUUUGACAAAUUGGGUAGUAAUAUAUAGUGAUAGUGGAUCUAUGGUUUAUGUUCAUUAAUUAAUAAGCUAACUAAUUUUGCAAUACAACUGACAUUCCUUGUAGAGAAUGCUAUCCCUUUUAUUUUAUGUUCACCAUGUAAAUAUUAUUUUUUGGAAAUUAAAUUAUUUGUUGGAGAUUAAAAAAAUUUCUGAUCUCUAUCAGAGAGGCAAUGAGCAGGUAAAAGUAUGGAUUAUGAGGAACAGAUAUACACCUCUCCCACUGUGGUCUAUCAUCUACCCUUCUAAAUCCAGUCCUACAUGCUUCCAAGUUAUCUUUACCAAUUACAUGCUAAUAUUUCUUUUUCCUUUUUACAUAAAAGAGAGACGCCAUAAUAUGUUGCAGACCUCCUAACUUGACAUUUCUAAACCUUUUUCUAGUUUAUCAUCAAAAUUAAAAAAAAAUGUUGAACAAUGCCAGACUAAUGUGUAGAUAUUCAUAUUGCACUUUUCACAACCAUCAUAGAACACCAUAACAAAAAUAAAAAGUAAAAUAAAAUCAUUCAGAACACUAGGUCAAAAAAACACCUUGUAUCUGCAAGAGAAUUGAACAUAUAUUGAAGCAAGUUCUUUGCAUCUGCCAUUGAGCGCAAUUGGUUCCAACGUCCACGGUUGGUAAAGGCACGCUCCCGUUCUUCUGCCUCCGAAAGUUGCGAUGCCAUCGCUACAAGUGAGUUUGAUGAUAUGCUAAGCAUGUUCUCAAGUGAAGAUAUUCUGGCCAUUCUUGCAUUUGGUGACAUGGAGGACACCCUGAACAAACAAAAUACAGAAAUAAACCACCAGAGAGAGAGAGAGAGACAGAAAAAAUAUUUACGUUCUACUAUUCCAUCUGUUUCAUGCUAAUCUUUUCAUCAAAUUCCAAACUAUAAAACGGGGAAGAAGACAGAAUUAUGUAGAUAUAAGUGUUUAAUACGAAACAUACCUGGCAAAGCCAUUCUUUCCUCUUGGAGGACUAAGGCCCUUUGAAGCGAAUUCGUUUAAUUGCUUCAGCAUGGCCAACUCUUCUGCCAGUGCAGCUCGUCUGCAUAUUACAGCUUUUAAUUAAUAAACUCUCCAAUACUAUAUACAAUUCAGUAUUAAAUGAACAUAUAUUUAUGCAUACACUUGACUUUGUUUCUCAUAUUCAUGACGAACUUCAUGCACAUUCACCAUGACUUCAAGCUCGUGAUCAAGCCACCGUUGUAAGGAUUUCUCAUUGCUCUAGUGGUGGAACUUGAGUUAGAAAGAUUCAAAAUUCAAAGGGAAGAACAUAAAACAUAUGGAAAGAAGAGGAAGCAAAGAGCAUUACCUGUAAAUGUGUCCCAUUUCCGUUGGCAACAGCUGGUAAAAGUAUACACAAUUAGAAGGUAUAAAUAUUAAAGGAGAAGGCCCAUGCUGUGAAGUGUGAAGACCCUAUGUUAUAAAGAAGACAUUUCUUCUCAAUUGAGGUAAUUUUAGAAAUUUGGUGAUUACAUAUGACAGUGAAUUUAAUCUUUCAAUACCUCAUCUGAGAGAACCAAUGCAUUUAUGAAUGCAAUGGGUGUCCAGAAGUGCAGCCUUCAAACAUUAUAAUAUUAUAAUAGAAAACAAAGCAUACCUGAGCUGUCACGAGCAGAAGAUUUACGAGCUUCUAACAAUUCUUUCAGCCUCUUGGUAGCCAUUGCAGCCUCUUCAGUCUUUCUUUGAAGAACCUGAAAGAAAGGACAGUAUUCACUUCAACUACCAUUAUAUUAUGUUGCAACCAUGGUUUUAGUGAAUUUAUCCCACUUUCUCUGUUUAUUAAGAUAUAUCAAGUAGAGGAAAUCAACUCUGCAUGCUAAAAUGCCACAACUCUAGGGGGCCCACGUAGCUUGAAAACUCUCCAAUAUUAUACUGUAACUCUCUCAUUAAAGAGAAGCACCCAUAACUUCUUGAAGAUAGCAAUUCAGAUAAUUUUCCCAAAUUAGAUUUGAUCUUAAUAAGGGAAAGUAACAUGUCACAGGUUGGAAUCUCAGAAGUUAAUAAUCAGAAAAUUACAUUGCUGGUCAAACUUAGCAUUGAGAUCUUUGAAAGGACAACUAAAUAUAUAGGCAACUGAGAUAUACUCACCAUUUUCUGGCGUUGAUUUAAUGCUUGCAGCUUAUGCCUUUCAUAUUCAUUUCUCCUGCCCUCUUUCCGUAACUAUUAUAGUGAAAGUAAAACCAAAGUAGGGAGCAUGAAUUAAUACAGGAAAUCAAAUUCAGUUCAGAUAAGAAAGUAAUUAAGACGUGGAAAUGCUCAUUUCCAUCCUCUACUGUUAUAGCAUUGAUGCAUAAAUACAUACUUAAAGUGCUAACACUUCAUAAAAAUUUAAAUAUGCAUAUACUACUAAAUAUAAUGGUGAUCGGUCUCUGUUUCCUGUUACAAAGCCUAAUGGCUCUCACUCCUGCUAAAGAUUAAUAAAUCAUAAUAAAUCAUAAAAGAUAUGGCUCUCACCACUGCACUAUAUUUAUUUAAUUUUAUGUAAAAUGACAUGAAACAAUGGCAGGAGCUUCAGACUUGUGAACUUCCAUAUAACUUCAAAAGUUAGCAGGACAAGGAAACAAAGGAAAAAAGUAAAUACCUGCAGCAAUUCCUUCUCUCGAGAGGCUUUCCACUGCCGAAAUUGUUCUGCUUCUUGUUUUAUCCUAUGUUGCAAUUGAACCUGGAAUUUUAAAAAAUAUUAAAUAAUAGCAGUAGAUGCAGAGAAAAUAUUAUCCUUAUUAGGACAAAACUAUGAAGAUAUUUUAACAGCAUGAUGAGUCUAAACCUUUUGUGCCUUUAUUGACUGGAUUUCAUCUUGCAGUCGCUUUGCUGCUUCAUCACUUUUUUGUUUUUGCUUCAGUAGCUGAACCUGGCUCUCUUGUUUCUUCUUAAGAUCCAGAAUCUGAUAUGUAAACAUUGUAAAAGAUGAAACAUUUGGAUUACAAGUCCCCUGCUUAUCCAAAGUGAAACAGCUUUCUAGUAGAAAAGUAUGGUACCUGUGCCUCAAGUGCCUUUAACUUCUGGGAAUGGACAUCUUGCAAUUUCUGUGCUUGUCCAUCACUAUUAGCAAGAUUUUCAACUUCACCCAGCAACCGGUCCCUCUCUUGCUGCAGUAUGAAACAAGUAAAGAACAACAAGUGAAUAUCAGUUCUCCCAAGAAAAACACCGACGAGUUCAAAGGCUAAGUUAACCUGCACAGCUCUUUUCUCAUCUUCAAGUUCCAUGAUUUUCUUUCCAAAGUGCUGCUUGAGUGCCACAGUGUCAGAACCUUCAAUAAACUUCAUUUCCGACUGCACAGACGUCAAACGUAAAGUCACACAUAAUACCUGAGAAGUCACUAAUGAUGUUUUCAUGUGAUCCCAAACAAUAUACACACUCAGACCAUACCUCCUUCUGCUGUAGACGUUUAUUCAAUUCAUGCAACUCUUUGUCCAUAGUAUUUUGCAGAAUGUUGUGCUCCCACUCUUUUGCUACUUCCUCAUCAAUUUCCUGGGAAUCACCUGCUACAAUAUGACAUCCUACACUAUAUGAAUUUCCCCAACACUAAAGAUGCAUGUGGCUUAUAGGUGCUCACAUAGCUGCAGCUGAUUUUAUUGAGAAAAUAAAAUGUUGUCAAGGAAGUCCUAAACAGAGAUAAGUGAUACCUGUUAUUGCUUCACCCAUUUGGUAGUCAGCUGAUUCUAUACUUUGCAAACCCCUUUUAAGGCCAUCACUUUUUACAGAGCACGUACUACCAACCUGAAAAUGAGGUUUUAGAUUAACAAAUGUACCUGUCUAGCUGAUUAUAUAUGCCGAGUCCUACUUUAACGAUAAUUCACAACCAAAAAAAUAUAUAGAUUACAAAGUGAAAUAAGAAACGAAAACAAGUACAAGUCAAAGUCAUAUAUAUUAGUACUGGAAAGAAAUAAGAUUAAAGAACAGCGUGAAUCUCUACUAAAGCGUGUAACACAUACGUGACCAUCUCUUUCCAACUGCUCUACACCAGUGCAUUUACUACGGUAUUCAUGAAGUUCCCGACAAAGAUCCUCAUUAGCAGCUUCGAGCCAAGUAAUCCUUUCCUUGAGAACCUACAGAAUUCGUGAAAUCGCUUAGAAAUUGAAAUAAAUAUAUUAAAGAAAAUAACAAUUUAAUCUAUUCUUCUAGUACUAAAGAAUUAAUUGCAGUUUUAUCAUUUAUUCCUUUUUUUAUAUAUAAAAUAUCACCAUACUGGCCACACAAUGAUGCAACUGGGGUAAGUCUAACCCUGGAUGGAAGAAUUCCGACACAACGAUUCACAGAAGAGUAAUAUUAAUAUACCUGUAUUUCAUCAGAAGAAGAUCCUCCUCCACGUGAACAAAGUUCAGCUUGCAAAUACUCUAGUUGUUGGCGCAUCUUCAGCAUCUCACUGGACAUGGGAUCUCUGUUUACCUGUUACAAUAAAUCAGAAAAGCUACAUAAAUGACAAUGGCACAAAGGCAGAAAUAUGUACCUACAGCGGUAAAAACUAAGAAAAUUAUGAAUAAGAAUUUAUUCUGAACAACUUACAAUAGGCUUAUUUUGGAUAUUGCGAGCACGAUUUGCAUACUUUAAAGUGUUUAGGGUUUCCUCAGCAUUGAUAUCAGCAGGACUGAUGCAGGCUGUAUGACAUAAGGAAAAUCAUGAUAGUAUCAAGUGGACAGACAGAUCAUGCAAUCAGCAGAUAGGGUUCUUGUAACAUCCCUUCUGCUGUCAUUAAACAAAAUUGAACUUUCUACAUUACACUAAACGGUUUUCAACAGCACGUGAGAUGAAUAAGUGGCAAGAUGAGAAAGGAAAAUUGAAUUGACAAUCAGAUGUGAGAACUUAGAUAUAUAGGACCAAACGAGAAAAACAAAGAUUUGAUAAUCUCAGAUUUAUGACAUUGCUUGCACAAACUAUAAAAUAUUGAGAAGAAAAGAAGAAAUAAGGUUUUAAGCCUAUAGAUGCAGGUGUUAAUACAAAUCGUUUCUUUUCAAAAAAAAAAAAAAAAGGCCUAAGGGAUAUUAGUAAGAUCACAUUCAGGUGACUUCUAAAAAAGAGAUACAUUCCAUGGGGCAUACCAAAACAAAAUCAAAUAUGCCUAGAGCAAGCACCAAAUUUUUUAACACGGGAAAAAGAAAUUUAAUAAAGUUACCUAUCAUAACAGUUCGGCUGUUACCACCAAGUGAGUCCUGCAAAAAUCAACAGACACCAAACCACAAUUAAACAACAAACACUGCUAAACAUUUUCACAUGAUUUUGUCAAGAACAUUUGUCACACGUUCUACCACAAGGUUUUAGAAAUUUUUGAAUGGAAUCAAACCUGCAAAAGCCGAGUAAGUUUACUAUCUCGAUAAGGAACAUGAACACCUUCUUUGCGCUUCUUCUCAUCACCAAGUGCACUGAUAACAUUACCAAGUGCAAGAAGACCCUUAUUAAUAUGAACUCCUGUUUAAGAAAAAAGUAUAUCCACAUGAAAAUGUAUUACAUAAAUGCGCUUUAGACACAAAAAGUAACAAACAAUAUAUUUACCUUCCUUAAAACGCAAACCAUCAGAACCUGUCCUCUUUGCGCGCUCAGACCCAGCAAGAUCUACCAAAUGCAACUUGGCACAUAGAUAUUCUUCGUUCAUACUCUCGCUAACCCCGUUGUUGCCAGAACAUGUCGGGUUGACCUUAUGCAUUUGCUCUAAUGUGAUGGUGAAGAUGGCAUGUGAACGGCUAUAGACAUAAGCAUAAAAGGAACAAGUCAUUAAACCCCGGGGACUUAAUGCAGAACCCAUCUUGAUAGACAAUUGAAUCUCAGGAAGAUUUUAACAAAACAAGUCAAAAGAAAUCGAGAAAGGAUUUUGGAAAGGACCAAUUAUUUCUCAAGCAUUGAAAGGCAUAUAGCACAUACGUUGUCUUUCCACAUUUUACAAAAAUUUCACAAGAAAUAAGUCUUUUCACCUAUGCAAAUAUAUAUUACCAGUUUGUAUACGUUCCAUAAUUAAGGAAAAAUACACAUAACUUAAAAGGAAAAGGAAGGCCCAUAAGUUACCUUGAUUGAUUGUUCAUAUUUGUACUCCCUGUCGCCCUGCUCAAAGAUCCUUGUUCCAGGCAAGCAGCCAUUUCUUUUAGCGUACUAACACUGAGUUCAGUGGAUCCUGCCAGUGUAAUAACACCAUUUGAUGAUUCUCGAAUUUGUAUUGGUGGCUUUCCAGGGGCUGUUACUUUCCCCACAUGCCCGUUUGCCCCUUCUGGUUUGCUCAAAAAACUAGGAUCCAGCAAAUCUCGUACUUCUUCUUUGAGAAUCUUUGCAUCAAAAUAUCCUAGUUAGAUUUCACUAAUGCAACGUGGUACAUAAAAAAAUGGAGAAUGGAACUUUAACAACAAAAUUAAGAAUAAAACACCAUAACAAACCUCAAUAAAAGAAACAUGCAACUGGAAUUCAGUUUGAUGCUUUAGAGUUUCGAUUUUGCUAAAUAAUACAUUCAUAACUUGAGGGAUAAUUCCAGUUUGGCAACCAUCUCUGAAACCAGUGCCCAUGGUGUAUGUUUUCCCAGAACCUGUCUGCAGUAGAAUAAAAAUGUUAACCCUUAGGACACUAAAUUGCAAAGGGAGGCUUAACAAAAGACGGUAAACUGCAAGACAUUGAACCUCAGCUCUCCAUGGAAAAUAUAAGUACCUGACCAUAAGCUAGGACAGUAGCAUUAUAUCCAUGAAACAAUCCAUCGACCAGCGGAGCAACACAUUCUUCAAACAUUGCAGAUGACGGCGAACCGGUACUCCCGUAGACAUUGUCGAAAGUAAAUGAAUGUGUGCCAAUUUGUACCUGCACCAUUGUCACAAUCAGCACGUAGAUUAAACAUAAAUACGCCCCAUGGGUCCAAAUUUGGUCCGUAGCACACGUCAGCAUUGCUCUCAAGUGAGUUCAGAACCUUAGAAUUUGAUGAAAUACGUCGGAACGCAAAAUUGAAAACCAAUGAAUGUGAUAGGCACCACAAAUUGCAGCUACCAAAUGAGAAAUGUCACCAACAAUAAAUAAAUAAAUUAAGAUUAAAAAAAAUUCCUUUUUUAUUAAUUAUAAUCCAAAACCAUUUCUUUCCUUUAAUUAGGACCGGACGGUGCUAUGCCGAACAGAAAAUCUGUCACCGGUCAAAAUCUACGGCGUAAAUUCGAGACCAAAUAAUUCCCCAUAUCAGCCAAUCAAUAAUUCCCAAUUGUGGAACUAAACAAAUUACAUGAAUUUAAGGUGCUAAUGUGAAUCCUGAUCCAAAAUCAAAUUGCCAAGUGAAGCAUGCAAUCCUGAGGCUUACUCAGUAAGCACAUUUGGAUCCAGAUCUCCCAAAAGUUUGAUUCUUUUUACUCAGUCAGCUAAAACUGGAGCUGGGUUAGCUCUAGAUUAAAGCAAACAAGGAGAGAGAAAGAAUGCACCAGAAUGGCCAUGGAGAAAAAAGUAAGACUUUUUUUUAGAGUGAGGUACCUGAGGCUUGCCGGGGACGACAGUGACGCAAUCUUUACAGCCUUGGAGCUUCUCAUCUCCGAUGAGCGGCCGGAUGUGGACCGCUACUUUCACACAGCAAUCUUCCCCUGCUUCCAUGGCUACAGCUACAGGGGAAGACAGCGAGCGAGAGGGAGAAAUAAAAGAAAGAUUCAAUUCUGAGGAGAUGAGUGUGUAUUUGAGAUUUGAGAGAUCAAACCGUUCUCAUUGUCUGUGAAUUUAGUGAGAGAAUUGCAGACAGGGAAAGUGAUGGAACAACAACAGCAACCAGAAAAGAAAGAAUGAAGGAAGAGAGAGAAAGAGGCUCAGCUCAACUCAGCUCUCAUUGGGAUUUUCAUUCAGAGUCAGACUCUGUGUUUUUUGUGCUGUGAAGUGAAGAGUCUUGAGAGAGAGAGAGAGAGAGAGAGAGAGAGAGAGAGAGAGUAAAAAUAGAAAGGAAAGGGAAGGGUAGUUGGGGGAAUGAGCGGGUAACUGCUGGGACAACAACCACUAUCAUUUUCCUUGCGCUUCACUGCACCACAACACACACAGUUCCCUUCUCUAAACUUUUAUGUCACUCUUUCCCAAAAUGCCCCUUCCUCCUUUCACAACGGUCUCUCACCCUGCCUCCCCCCGUAAAGGAAGUUGUCCAGCUGUGAUUUGUCCACCUCGCCCAUGCUUGUGUCCGCGUUAUUACAAAGCUUGCCCUUUUCUGUUCUUUUGUGUUGUUGUGGCGUCGGACGGUGCCGUUUUGGCGCGGGAAUUUAGUAAGGAAAAGCGACGGACACAGCCCACCAAGCCACGCUGCCACGUGACAUAGAGUGUUGUAACUUUUAUUAAUUGGGGUUUCGUAAAAGAAAGAAGAGUUAUGCUUCGAUAAGUCGCCUAUAGUUUGAUCAACGGUAGCAAAAUAUUUAAUAAAAAGAGAAAUGCCAAGGACAAGUCACUCUGGCGUAAACAACUCUUGUUAGAAUAAUGUUUUGGAGAAAUUGGUAGUGCUUUGGAAGCACAAGGUGAAAUGUCAAUGCAGCGUUAAGAAUUCAUCCAAAUCAAAUCAAUCAUAAUACAUGUAUAAUUAUAAAUACAUACAUUCUAAAUGUUAGAAAAACAAACCCUCAUCUAACAUAACAUAUCAAAUUUUGUGUGAACUCGUAACAUCGCGUCACGUUAGGACCACAAAAUAUAGGGCAAAUGGGUAAACACGGCAAGUUCGUCCAGAGAAAAUUAGGGGAGGGGGGCGAUCUAGUGUUGAAAAAAGUGAUGGUAGAGAGGUAUUAGGGAGGGAGGACCCGGAGAAGUAAAGUGAGUGGACGGAAAGACCAGUCCCACAAAUUAGACAGUGCCAGCUGGUGGUCUCCCACAUCACAUGGCCUUUUAGUGUCCAUAACCCUCUGGGCCCCACCCUCACUCUGGGGUCAGAAGAAGACUCAGACACAACACACACUCAGACUCCGAUGAUGAUGGCCCCACGAUUUUGCAGAAUUUGUAGCAGUUGAAAAAAAAAAAACCUCAUCUUUUUAGUUUGCUGCUUUAAGGAUCAUGCUCUGGUGUGACUUCUUUAAAAAAAAAAAAAACCAGCUCAUCUUGUUUUUUAUGGUACUAGAUAAUAGAAUCACCCAAAGUCUUGUUAAAUUUCUUUGAAAGAAAUGUGUCUUUCUCCACCUAAAUUUUUUCCCCUUUGUAUGCUAUUGAUUACAGCUAUUGUAAAUGGUAGGCAAAGCCCUUGUGGUGGUUGCAUUAUUUAUUAAUUAUUUAAUUCGAGGAUUUAAAAACAACUGUUAGGAGUAGAUGAGCAAGAGCCAUCAAUGACAUCAAAAGUGAGAGUAAUUGAAGGUUUGCAUUUCAAUUUUAGAUGGUAGAUGCUAAUACUUGUUUUGUUUUAAUCAAAAUUCACAAGGGUGAAACCAUAUCUGGAAUUGGGAUCCAAAUAUCCAAUCCAUAUAUAGAAGAAGAAAGAAAAAAAGAUCUUUAAGAACAAAAAUAAUGUAGACAAGGAGGUCAGCUAGAUUAUCAUACUCAGAAAGCCAAACAAAUUUUUUUUUUUUUUUUCUGGUGGGCCAAAGUUGGGAUAUAUAAUUUCAUGUUUCCAGUUUUGUAGGAAGUUGCAGUACCAAAGUUUUGACACAAAUGAGUACAUUGCAUAAUGUGGACAAAUAUUUCUGGUAAAUUUCCAGCUUGCCAAUAUAUCAUAUAUACAUGUUACAUACACUUAAACUGAACUUGACCCAAAUUCAGAGCUUUCAUUAUUAUUUUUCAACACACACUACCACAGUGAUAUGAAAGUUUGAAUAUGAAACUAUUGAUCUGCAAGUCAAGGCAGCCAGAGCUUUCAUUAUUAAGAACUCCGUUGUUGUUGGGAUUGCAAUCCCUUUGAUGCAGCAAAGGAAUGGGAAAAUGAUUCUUGGGUUUUUGGGGGGUUCUUUUAUUAUUAUUUUUUUCUGAAGUGGUAGACUGCAAGUUAAGCAAGCUGCUCCACACACCAAUUGUUUCUGCAGAAGUCCUUUAUUCAGAAUGAAGGGAAGCAAAGGAAAGGGAAAGCUGAAAAAAUGAUCACCAACACCAAGCUUCCUCUCUGUUCCAAACCUAACUUCCCAUCUAUUGAAUUUUCUGAAUUCGACCGUUAGCUUGGAUGCAGACCAAGCAACUAGAAUGAGGCCCCACUUUAUAUUUAUAUUGUAUUUCAUUUGUUUGUUUGUUGUGGAAGGCUUAAGUUUGUUGAUUAACUGUGUAAGUUAUCAUAAUCUCAACAUUUAUGUACCUACAAGAUGAUCUUCAUUGACAUCAAGAAAUUAAUGUUAGGCUUAACCAAAUCAACUUUAAGGAAUUUGAAGUUUUAAACAACAUUUGCUUUAUUGAAUGAUGACACUUUGACUACUAAAGCUGGAAUUUGAGGCAACAAAAGCUUAAACCUUUUCCAUUUAAAUUAACUGCCAAUAUGGAAACAGCUCUGUAUCUGAUGUGUUCCCUGCAACCAAAUCACCAUGGCACUGUGUGUGCUGCACUGUACACUAUUUUGUUUCUUAUAAUUCUGUAUUAAACAAGGCACCAACUUGAGUUUUUUUAUUGGGUUCAUUUUAGUUUCAUAUCCGAAAGUUGGACCAGUAAGUAAGGCAUGUUUCUUUUCCUUUUCUUCUGCAAUGCUGAAGAAAAGAUUUUAGCUUUGGGCCAUCCAAAUACCCUGCUCAUAAAAAAUUAAAAAUAACUGUAACCCAAUACUAAGCUCUCAUUAGACCACAUGAUUUUGGGUUUUUUUUUAUAAGAGUUUUUCAUCUAUGCUUCAGACAGAGGGCGCUUGCUGCUGCAUAUGUUGCAGUGUGUUUCUUUAUUAUAUUCCCAUCCCUUUUCCUUGUGCUUUCUACCAUGUGGAGCUUUGCAUCACAUGCUUCCACCACCUUUACAUCACACCAUUAUUCCCACACCUCCUUUUGAUCUCAAGCUCCCCAAUUUUUUCUCUCUUCCCUUUUGUUCAUUGAUCAUCAUCGCAAGCAAUCCUAUCUUGUUUUGCAGAAUGAUUAGCACUAUAAUUAAACAGAUUUUGGACUAUCUUACAGUCCAAUCAGCCACUUCCUAGUCACUGAGGAGUGAGCAGUGAAGUUGUUUAAGUACAUUUGUUGAAUUAUGGUUUCAUAGGAGAGAGAGAGAGAUAUGAUUCCAAAUUGCACAAUUAUUAAAGUGGCCCUCUUGUCUAUUUCAAAGUGAAUAUGCAAUCUAAUUGUGCUUUCUUUUUAACAGUUGCUUGCAAUCCAUCAUAUCUUGUCUUGGAUAAACUUUGCAAUAUUAUGCCUCUAAAGCUCUCUCUCUCUCUCUCUCUCUCUCUCUCUCUCUCUCUGCAUCUCCAUAUUCUAGCUCUGCGUGUAAAAAGCAUUGAGAGUGGAGCAGACACAGCAUGUGCUAGCUCUGAAAAUUUUCAUCAUUAGCUUCCAUCAAAAUUUGGUCUUAAUUAGUACUUCCAUGAUGGUUUUUUUUUCUUUCUAAAUGGUCUUAAUACUAGAGCACUGUGCCUGUCUUUAGGUGGGUUUUGGGAUUAUGUUUAUCAGUUAAGAUGGGCAAACCCACACCUUACUGACUGGUAUCCAUUCACAUUAAAAUGUUAAAUGAUUGAUGAUGCAAAUUUGCUGCUUUUUUUUUUCUUUCGGUGGGACAGAGAAAUUGCACAACUGGAAUGUGCCCUUCUAAUUUGUAAGCCAAUGACUCGUUUAAUAGUGAGGGCCUUAUAUAUAACCCUUAUGUGAGAUCCUAUCUUUUAACCAUUGAAUCAAACUAACCAACUUGAUCCAAUGGCUAACCAAUUUGAUCCAACAAUUAAGAGCCUUACUUAAGGCCAUAUAUAAGGCCCUAUAGAAUUCUUGGUAAGGCAAUAGCAAUUUUGGUCCUCCUCAAAUCUUCUUCAGGACAUGACUUUUCAAGUUUAAUCACUUUAAUUGGUGCCAAGGUCCUGGCUUUUGCCCAACGAGGUUCAGCAUGCAAUGGUGGUUCCACCGAAGCCUGGACAGAGAAGGCAGAGGCUGCAUUGAUCUAAAGUUGCCCAAAAGAUUUUCAGUUCAGGCUUGGUGGACCAUCUGUUCUCCAUAGGGUCAUUUUGGGCCAACUUUUUUGGUGUUAUGGAGGCCCAAAGAUCAAAUGACAAAACCAACUAAACGGGAACAGCCCAACAUAUCCACCUUAAACGGGCUCGGAAUAUAAAAGGAGGAGAGUGGAUAGCAUGUUCAUGCAUUCCAUAUCCAAGAAGGGGAUCAAAUUAGCCAAACCAUCGGCAAAUAAAUAUGCUUGAUUCUUGAAAGGCCUAAAAUCUGUUUUUAUAACCCAUAAAAUACUUAUAACUUCCGCAACAAAAAAAAAAUUAUAACUUUUCAUGCUAAAGUUAUCUAAAAAUACUAACAAAAGAACCUUACCGAAUCGAACAAUAGGUGAAACUGUAAAAGAUAUAUAUUGGGUCAUGAAUCAUAUAAACAACAAUACAUAGUCCACUUUCAUUUUUACAGAGGAAAUUCUUAUUGACAUUUUAAAAUAGUAAUCAUACACUCGUACAAGUGCAAUUUCAUGUUUCCAUUUUUGUACAAGUCAUAGAGCUCAGCCUCAAUGAAAUUUCCUGUAAAAUCCUACAUUCAACCCCAUUCUCAUUUCAAAUCACAAACUUCACCUCUAAUAACACCCUAUAUCACCCUGCUUACCAACAUGAAUGGAAAGAAAACACCAACAUUAUGAUGUUGGGUUUUUUUAGGAAUAAUUUAGUGUCACAGCACUUUCAUUCACAUGAUAUGGACCGCAUUUUUUUAUUUUAUUUUACGAGGACCAUGGUGGAGUGACAUCUUUAUAUUUAUAGACGCACCAUGUAAUACGAUGAAAUAACACUAUCCUUCAAAUUAAAAAAAUUUAAUUGUCUGCCAAACACUAUAAUAAUAAUUUAGAAAAAAUAAAAAUAAAAAUUUGUCUGCCAGACGAAUAAUCAACGUGGUUGACCCUGUCCCUCAUUUUCAUCUGAAUCUGAGAGAAGCGAAGGGCGGGGAAGAAGAAUCACAAUCCUCUUCCGUUUGCUCCGUUGCAGCCUCGCCCUCAACUCCUGCCAUCUCCGCCCUUUCAAUCGUCAGGUACUUUCAGUCGUCUCCUCACUGUCUCUCUGUAUUUAUCUUAUACUUAGACGACUGAUUAUAACGAUGAAGAAUCGAAUUUUUGGUUAAUUUCUUUUUGGAGGCAAGUGACUUUAGGGUUUUGUUAGCUUUUGGAUCUCAUUGAUAAAUCACCAUGCUUUCCUGCGAAAUAUAUAUAUAUAUAUAUAUAUAUAUGUAUGUGUGUGUGUGUGUGUGUGUUUAUAUGUGUGUGUGUGUGUGUGUUUAUAUGUGUGUGUGUAUGUGUGCAGAAUAGAUUUGCAUGCAGAAUUUCGAAUCUACUCUACUAGUUUUAGCGCAUAAUAAUUGGAAAGCUCGAUGGGCUUACUUUGAAGAACUCUUGUUGUGGCUUGCCUCAUCGUAGUGAGCUGAACUAUUGUACAAAACAAUCGUGGAAUGACCUUGUGAUUCUGUAAGUUUUUGUUACUGAAUAAGUAAUUAGUGAAUAACGGUAUUCACUGCAGGGAAAAGGUCUCUGUGCUGCCUAUGCAAGUGCAUGAGUUUCUACACAAGUGAUGCUUGAAGCCUCUUUGCUAAUUGAAUUGAGAUAUCGAGUAAAAUGGCAUCAAGUUUUCUGAACAUAGUGAAUGCUACUUUAGAUUGGGUGACAGCGACUUUGGAUGCUCCCUCUUCUCGAGCUAUUGUUUUUGGAGUUCCUAUUGGCGGUACUAGCUUCUCCAGAUCCUAAUAACUGCUUAUUGCUUACCAACGUAAAAUAAUGUUUGUGCUGAACAAAGUUUUGUUUAUUUGGCCUUUUUCUUGCAGGACAUUUAUUUGUAGAAGUUCUUCUUUUCUUAGUCAUUGUUUUUCUACUUUCCCAGAAAAGUUACAAGCCACCUAAGCGGCCUUUAACAGAGAAGGUUUGUAUGAGAGAUUGCAACCCUUUUGUCUCCUUGAAUAGUUAUCUCUUUGCCUGCACCCCUUAUUUUAUUUUUCAAUUUUUCCAAAUGAAUGGUUUCGGUUUCUUAGUUACUUAACAAAGUAAGGAUGGGAGAAGUGCCGAGGCAUUGUUAUGUCUAGAUUAUAUCCCUAGUGGGGUUUUUAUGAAAAAAUAUGCAUGCGGACAGAUUUAGCGUUAACCUUUUGUCUCAUUGAAUGGAAUUUGUAGUGAUGCCACUUUACAUGUUUUGUGCUUGUCACAUUUUAACUUUCCCUUGAAAAGGUUUAGUAUGGUAUGCUUCUGAUUUUUAUCUGAGGGGUAUCCUGGUUUCUUAAUUGAACUUGGCUGGUGUAUCUGAUAUCUGUAGGAAAUAGAUGAGCUAUGUGAGGAAUGGGUUCCUGAAUCUCUUAUUCCUCCUAUCACUGAAGAGAUGCAGUAUGAACCCCCAGUGUUGGAAAGGUGAGUGAGAUUAGUCCUAAUCUCGUCAUAAAAUGAUCUCCAUAUUUUUGUGGUCAAAAUAUAUGCUUUCAUUUGUAUGUACCUUUUUCCAAAUUUCUUGAAGAUAGAGUGAGAUGAGUUCCUUUAACAAUAGUGUGUGUUUUCCCACACAAAAUGGUCCUGGAUCUUUUUCUACAUGUUUUACCCUGGUGUCUAAUAAUUUCUACAUGUUCCUUGUGUAAGCAAAGCAUUUUAGUGGAUUUUCUACAAUUCAUAUUCUAAGGUUUUGGGUGAAAAUUGAACAAUGUCUUCAUUGUUCUAAAGAUUUCUGCUAAUGAGUGGAAUUUUUUCAGUGCUGCAGGGCCACAUGCAAUAAUCAAUGGUAAAGAAGUCGUGAACUUUGCUGCAGCAAAUUAUCUUGGAUUGAUAGGACAUGAGAAAUUACUUGUAAGGGAUAGCUUUUCAAAUUACUGAUAUACUUUUUCUUCAUGAAUAAUUGCUUAAAUAGAGCAUUUAUAGCAGUGUCUAAUCUCAGGAGUCAUGUACCUCUGCAUUGGAGAAAUAUGGUGUUGGUUCCUGUGGUCCUCGUGGGUUUUAUGGAACAAUUGGUAUGCCUCAACUACCAUGAGAUAAAGUAUUGAUGUUUUUUUUCUUUUCAUAUAUUUAAUAUUAGUUAAUUAUUUAUUUAUAAAGGUAGACAACUCGCAGUCUAUUUUAUAAUUUUUAUUUCAUUUUAUUUUGUAUCAGAUGUUCACCUUGAUUGUGAGGCAAGAAUAGCAAAGUUUUUGGGAACUCCUGACUCAAUUGUCUAUUCGUAUGGACUGUCUACCAUGUUCAGUGCAAUUCCCGCAUUUUGCAAGAAAGGAGAUAUUAUUGUUGUGUGAGUAUGCAUAAUAUUGUUCAUUUUAAGUAUUCCAGUCUCUUUUUUUCUUUUUUUUCGUGUUGUAGAACUUGUUUUGUUUAGUUGAAGAGUUUGUCAUGAAAGGAAAAAAUAUGGAUAACAUGGAAAAUGUGUUAUACUUUAAGCAAAUGCUUGAAUCUUUUAAUUGUUAUUAUGGUUCAAGAUUAAGGCCUCUAAAAUUACUGAAGAGUUACUCGUAAACCUUAUGAUUUUACUCUAGUCUGCAUUGAUUACUUGUUUUUCUCUGUUUCUUUGCUUGAUUUAAGAACUUUUAUUGAAAUAUGAUGCCCACUGGUUUUUUAUUGUAUGACUUUGUCUAGAUACAUGGAGUUCAAUAUACUCAAGCUUUGUUUUGAUAUUUUUGAAGUACUAUAUAUGUAUGUGAACUUUCUGGUGCUGUACUUUCCUGAUCCUAGCAUUCAUGGAGCUUAUGCUGCUAAAAAGCUUUCUUGAAAAUUUCUGUUUAAAUAUGAAUUUACAUGUAAAGCGGUUUAUGUUUCUCCUUUUCUAGGGAUGAAGGAGUCCAUUGGGGAAUUCAAAAUGGUCUAUAUCUUUCUAGAAGUACAAUUGUGUACUUCAAGCACAAUGACAUGGAAUCUUUAAGAAAUACUCUGGAGAAAAUCACUGUGAAGAAUCAGCGGGCUAAGAAAUUGAGGCGCUACAUCGUGGUUGAAGCUGUGUACCAGGUAUCUCAGUCUAUUAAGUGUAUCAAAUUUCAUUUAAUUAAUUAUGGUUUUUAUAUUAGCGGCAAGACGAAAAUGCAAUUUAAAAGCAAGGGCUAUUUUAGAAAUUGAACGAAGUGUCUUUUUAGCCAUGAAUGUUGCCAUUGGCAUGUUAGCAUUUUGUCCCGAGUUUUCCUGAGAAUUGAAGUAGCUGAUGCAAUUAUAAGUAUGCUGAUUCCUAUUUGGAAUAUUAUUGACUUUUAUGUAUUUAUUAUUCUAAUCUAAAAUUUGCAGAAUUCUGGCCAAAUAGCCCCCUUGGACGAGAUUGUUAAAUUGAAGGAGAAAUAUAGGUUUCGUGUUGUAUUGGAUGAGAGCAACUCAUUUGGUGUGCUUGGAAAAGCUGGAAGAGGUCUCACUGAAUUCUGUGGGGUUCCGGUAUUUUUCAGAAAUCCUUUUUUUUUUUUUUCAAUCUCCCUUAACUGUUGAUCUAUUAUAUGUUUGUGAUUUCUGGUGGUGUGAUAUUGCAGGUAGAAAAAAUUGAUAUUAUUACUGCUGCAAUGGGACACGCAUUAGCCACAGAAGGAGGAUUCUGCACUGGAAGUGCUAGAGUCACUGAUCACCAAGUAUGGUCAUUGAAAUUUAUGAAACUGAAUUUUGGUUACUGGAAUUUAUACUACUAACCAGUUAGUAGAUCAUCAUUGCGCUGGUAGAUGCCACACUUGUAUGUACAUGCGGACACACACACACUUUAUUAAAUUUUUUUCUCUUCCAAAAUCUCCAAAACAAUAAAAUUUUGGGGUAUGGUCUUUGGCAGCGAUUGAGCAGUUCUGGGUACGUCUUUUCUGCUUCUUUGCCCCCAUAUCUUGCAAGUGGUGCCAUUACUGCCAUUGAUGUCCUUGAGGAAAACCCUGAUCUGAUAACAAAGCUGAAGAAAAACAUUGCUGUAUUAUGGAAAGGUCUGUUCUUGGUCUCCUCUUCACAUGCAUAGUUUGUUGCUUUGUAUUCCUUAUCUGGAUAGUUUUCAUCACUGUGGUUUACUCAUCGAUGAUCAAUUGCCUUGGCAUCCCUGUUGCUUUGGUAGAUCAUUUACCACCUGCCUUACACUGUGAUGCUCUUGAUUGAGAAAUGUGCUGUGAUGUGCAGGUUUGUCAGGUAUACUUGGCCUCUCAUUAGCGAGCAAUCCUGAAUCACCCAUUGUUUUUCUUAGACUAGAGAAGUCAACAGGUUCCGUGAAGAGUGACCUACAACUCCUUGAAGAUAUUUCUGACCGUGUAAGUAAAUGGUUAUAUCUUAAUUACACUUAGCUGAAUAAAUUUCUGCUACUCUUAUUUCUUAUUCACAAUGGUUGUGGUUCUGCAGUUGUUGAAGGAAUAUUCCAUUUUUGUGGUGACCUCCAAAAGGUCAACCCUUGAUAAAUGUCGUCUGCCCGUAGGAAUUAGAUUGUUUGUUUCUGCUGCCCAUUUGGAAUCUGAUCUGCUCAAGGCAUCCGAAUCGCUAAAAAGGGUUGCAGAAUUGGUGCUGAAGGAUCAUAUUUGACUGGUGGACGCCUGAUUUCUCUCGCUUACACAUGCACUUGGACAGGAUCUGGAUGCAGGAGCACCCCCAGUGUCUUUGUGAAGAUGCCCUUCGAUGGUUGAACAGUUUUGUAAUGCAGACUAACAAAGAAAGGCCUUCGAAUGUGGAUAAUUUAUGCGAUAGAGAUAUGAUUAAAUUAAAAUUGCAGUGUUUUUUGUCCCUUUUUUGACAUGUGAAAAGUCAGUCUAGAACACAGGUGUAUUUUUUAUUUGUUCGCAAUGCCGUGGAAAUUUUCACGUCACUCGUGUACAUUUGUUGUUCUUGGUGCUGUCUUAUGAAUUCUUUACCCUUUUAGUGGGAAUGAAGGAAAUAUUAAUCAUUCUACCUUUUGGAUAUUCGAAUGUGUUAAGGCAUUAAUAUCUGGGACUCUGUUACUUGUGAAUUGAAUAUCUUGAUAUCCUUAGCUCUUACUCCCCUCGGAUGUCUUAUGAACUGAGGUACGAGGCCGAAAAACCUAUUUUUUUGAUAAAAUAAUAUUCCAAAUUAUUAUAAUGUACAGAGAGGAAGAUCGAAUUCGGAAGACAGGACGGGCACACUUAUAUGGCCCAGCCCACAUCUACGUAUUUUUGUUUUACUUUAAAAGGAAAAUAAAAAUGAAAAGAAAAAAAUCCCACACACCCGCGCUUUUGGACCGACAAAAGGAGCAGAAUCCGCGUAAGAUUGACUCUAUGGUGGUACGGUACGGGUCUACUGCUCUGGCGCAUAGAAGUUUCUCGAAUUGUUGUUCUUUACUCAAUCUAUAACUUCGUGGAUUAUCAUUGAAAUUUGACGACGUAGAAGAAAGAGAGAGAACUUACAUUUGAUUGAUUGUUUCCUAGCCAGAACAGAAGAGGUCUUGUUUGCUUCUUCCUUCGCGCCACACACACAACACAGAGAGAGAGAGAGAGAAUGUCCGGAGGGAUCGCGCGCGGUCGUCUCGCCGAGGAGCGAAAAGCCUGGCGUAAGAAUCACCCCCAUGUCCGUACUUACAACCAUCACCUAAUUCUCCAUUUUUAUUGUUAUCAAAUUAUUUUAAAAUUUCAAUUUCAACGCCUUACCCUUUUUUUAUGCUUUAAAAUUAGGGUUUUGUGGCGAAGCCAGAGACUGGUCCAGAUGGCGCCAUCAAUUUGAUGAUCUGGCAGUGCAUCAUCCCUGGCAAGAGCUCUGUGAGUCCUCUUCUUCUAUUUCCUCUAAGAAUUUUGCAGGACAAUCAGAGAUAUAGCUAAAGUUGGGGCCUUUAGAGAUUUUAAUUUAGAAAUUGUUGUGUUACAUUAGAUCAGUUUUCAAAUUUUAUGGGUUUUCUGAUACGUAUGAUCAAAGCCGUCAGAGAUUUUAUUCUACUUAUUCUAGUAGAGUAUCUGAAAACUAUAUAAGAGGGGCUAAUAAUAAUUGAAUGAAUACUGGAGGUGGGAGGAGUGUUAAUUUAAUUAUAGCAACUUAUUGAACACAUUCUACCGAAGAUAAGUUCACAUCUUUUGCUUCAUAGAGACUGACAUUGGGAAAGUUUAUUUUCAUGAUAGUGGUUACUGGUUGCUGGUGUAACAUUCAUAUCAGAAAUUUUCUUAAUAUCUUUUUUUGUUUUGUUUUUUGUUUUGGUAUUGAUCUUGUUGCUAUUGCAGACUGAUUGGGAAGGUGGCUACUUUCCACUUACACUUCACUUCAGUGAGGAUUACCCCAGCAAGCCCCCUAAGUGUAAGUUCCCACAGGGCUUUUUCCACCCCAAUGUCUAUCCUUCUGGAACUGUUUGUCUUUCGAUUCUCAACGAGGACAGUGUAAGUAAUCAGCACUGCUCUAACCGGUCGAUGGAGAUUGUCGUAAUUGGUGAAUUCAUUUUAAUGUGAAUAUAUUUUUCAGGGGUGGAGGCCAGCCAUUACAGUGAAGCAAAUCCUAGUAGGCAUUCAGGAUUUGCUAGAUCAACCCAACCCUGCUGAUCCAGCACAAACUGACGGUUAUCAGCUCUUCAUCCAGGUUUAACUUUACAUUGAAUUCUAGUUGCUGCAUAUUCUCUGUUGUGACAGCUUGUGAAACUUGACCUAUGUUUGAGCAAUUUGACCCCAAUGUGCAGGAACCGGCUGAGUACAAGCGAAGAGUGCGGCAGCAGGCAAAGCAAUAUCCACCUGUUCUAUGAUGUGUGCGUUUACUAUAUAUGAUUAUCAACUCAUUGAUUAGUUCAAGAAAUUCAUGCCCACCGCUCCCUGCAAGGCUUGAUCAACCUUAUAAGUGCGUUCUCAGUUGACUUGCAAUUUGCAAAUUUCACUUGAUAGUUUUUUUUAAUUUAUAAAAAUAUUUAUGGUCGUUGCUGUUUUGGCAGUGGACGUGCUGCCAUCGUAUGUAUCAUGGUUAUUCUCAUUAUAAUAUGUGAAAGAAUAAAAAAUUCUUGGACAGUAGAAGCUCUUAUGCACCUUAAAACUUCAAAACUCAGUUUUUGAUGUAGCAAUGAUAUUGACUAAUGUCCUUCUGAUGAUUGUUUAUUGUUGCCAUUGUAAUUUGGAAAAUCAUAUUCACUCAGUGUAGUUCGGCGGAGUUUUCGAAUCAGAACAGGGGGACUGGGUUUGUGGCCUGUUCCUGUGAGCAAAGAUUGGAAUGCAUAAUGCAAUCCAAUUCCUUUGAAUGUCAUUCAUUUGAAUAAGAAAACAGAGGGAUUUUCACUUUGCUGUUUAGGUAGAUUUACCUUAACAAAGCACAAGUUGAGUGUCAGAUAUGCCAUGAGUGUAUGCUAUGACCUCACAUCUUGAAGAAGACUCGGCAAGAAGCCCAAAUUACCGUUACAAUCAGAGCAGAGCAGUUUUUAAUUUUAUUUUAUAAAAUUAAUAGUAACUACUCUUAUUAUUUUAUACAAUCGGUAGUAACUACUCUAAUGUACGGAGAGGAACAGCGAACUUAAAUGGCCUUAGUUAACUGACUUGAUCAACAGAAAUGGGAUUUGGACUUUUUAUUCAUGCUCUUUUCUAGAGAAAUUUAAUUGGUCCUGGUCCUGGUUCUGUUUCAUAAAAUUCAUUUCUUUUGUUACUUUCCCCCCUUCUGUCAACCUCAUUCAUCAAAUUGUCAGCUACGUUGCAGCAAGUCUAUAAUGCACUCCAAGCCCCACCUCCUGCCUAUCUCAUGUCCUUUCUCUCACUUGCACUUUUUUUAUUUUAUCAAAUUCUCUCACUCGCACUUUUUUUAUUUUAUCAAAUUCUCUCACUCGCACUUUUGUCAAGCAUUUGAACAUCCUUAAGAAUCAUCAGGCAUCCAUUUCAACCCCCCCGUCAAUGUCACUAAAUUUGCACGUAGUCUGCCAUGAUUUCUUUAAUUUUGUUUCUGUCUUGUGGGCAAGUUGAUCUUACAAUCAAUGAGUAUGCAACCCAACAUGUAAAUUCCUGUCAGGGUUUAGGAAUCGAGCUGGCUGGUUUUGCAGAAAGCAUGGCAAUGUCAGUGUGAAACUUUUUUAUUAUCAAGCAAAUUCCAACCAUUGAUCGAUGUACAAGUGAUUGCCAAUGAAUAUCAUGUGGCUUCUGUAAUACAAUCCAAGGCAUAUCAAAGCUCAGUUACAACUUGAAUAAAAGAUUGAGUUUUGGAAUAUAUUAUAUAUACAAAGGGGGAGAAAAUAAAAUGUUCUCCUGCAGAAAGCAAAAAGAUACAGACCAACAAAAUCAAAAGGAGAGAAAAAUAAUAAGAAUUUCGGUGUAUGAACCUAUUUCUAUCUAUAUAUUUUCAUGACGAGCAAGCUAACGCAGAAUCUACAGAUGUAAAUCACAGACAGGACAGCAAAUCCACCUCACUCCCACAAGCAUUGCAUAUAGCCGAUUGCCAAAAUCAGAGGAAAAAAUCUAUCCUUGCUGAUACUUCUGGCACUGGUUAGUGAUAUUUGUAUGUAUAUGUCUUUGUUUCUAUGAUACUACGUGUGGGGAUCUACCACAACUCUCCAAGACAAUCUCAAAUAAAUCAGCCUCAGAUUCCUCAUCAAACUCCAGUUCAUGGUUUGCAGCACUUGGGUUUUGGCUGCCUUUGGUUGUACAUCUGUUGAGCCACUGAGAGUCAAUUCUUUCCAUUGAGAAGAGCUCCAUGCUGUCUUCAUAAAAAGCAGCAGCUGAGGAUCUAACGAGAGGGCCAACAAAGCAAGGAUUGGGUGUCCUUUGGGCAUUGGCUGGGGCAUACUUGAAGACACUUUGUCCCAAAUUGACCAAGACUGUCAUGUCAGUGUUUGCUGCAAGAGUUGGAUAGAGGGGAGUGCUAAAUUCCUCUGACUUGCAAUGGAUCACAUGGACCAGCUCUGAUUCUACAGUGAAGUAUACUUUCUUUUGUCUAGGAUCAAACCCACACCCAAUAACUUUGUCUAUUCUUCCCCAUGUUGCUUUUUCUGAUUCAAAGACAAGUUUAAUCCCUGAAAGAAAAAGAACCCAUGUUAAAAGUAAUUGUAAUGUUCAUAAAAAUAGAAGUAAACUACACCUACUAAUAUUCUACCUUUUAUUUUUUAUUUGUUAAAAGUUUUAUCAACAACUCCAAACCUACUUCAGAUACAACCAAGGAUGGCACCAUGCACUGGGUCCAUACAUUAAUUUCCAUUUAUAAUCCAUGACAUCCUGCUGGGCUGUCAGAGAUUCUUUAGGUGAGAGAUUUAUUUCAUUUUGGUGGUUUGCCACUCUCUCUUUUGUUUCUUUUUGGGCCAAAAUAAACCCAAAACUAGAAAACUAUCAUACUCAGCUGUCCAGAGACAAUGCACAUUGCAAAGAGCACAGUGGUCAUCUGUUCGUCAUCAUCAUCUUGGGUAAAAUUCAAUGCAAGAGAUAAGGGAAAUUUAAAUUACCAUCAAGAUGGACUGAACCAUUGGAGCCGAAUCCGAUGCUUCCGGGGUAGCUGCCUGGAAGUUUGAGAGGAAGAGAGCCUCCUACAGUGAGCCCAACUGACAACAAAAUAGCCUCACCUUUGCCAUGAUUAUGAUGAUCCUCUUUAACACUCAGCUUUAAUUCCUCAAUUCUGCUGAUUCUUUGACUGCUAGUGACAUGAACCAAAGAAUCUGAACCUGGGUUUUCUUCUUUAGUCUCUUGAAUGAGUUUAGUCUUUUCACCUUCCUUCACCUUCCCAUUUGACUCGCUCAAUUCAUCCCCACGAGAAUACAAAAUUGUGAUCUCAAAAUAAGUUUCUUGCGGGAAAGAGUUGUUCCCCAAGGCAGGGCCUGGCAAAGGCAGAGCUGUCCUGAUCACAGAGGCAGCAGCCGUAGAAUUAGAACUGCCUAAAUUCAACACCUUUUUCAACCCAGAAUUUAGCCUAAUCUUCUGCAUGAAAUCAGCCGAACCUUGACACACUUCCCAGCUUAUCUCCGGCUCUGUCUCCCUUAUUCUCUGAUCACCAACCGCGCACAAACCCAAAAGCCUUGAUUUUGUUGAAGGGGAUGACAUGAAACUUGUGAAAGCGAAUCGAGACCAUCCAUUUUCGACAGCAUCAGUGAUGGACGUUGGAUGAUUAGCCCAACUAAACAGAGGCUUCCCUGAAACCCCACGUCGAUAGUAAUUGUUUCCUGUUGGUCUCUUGCUUUCUAAACCAGCUGGCUGAUGAUGAUGAAGCUUUGCAAUCCCAGCUUGCAAGCCCUCAGGUCUAGUAUUUUCCGUUCUGCCACCAACACUUUGUCUAUUUUUCCUGUAACAAUUCCAUCGCCAUAAAACGAGACCAACAAUGACUGCAACAAUUGGUAUGCACACCAGCACCACCACACCAUGUACCAAUCCAAACAUCUUUUGACUCUCCACCCAAAUGGGCUAAUCAAAGUUAUGUUCUUUUUGUGAAACGAAUCAGAAAAUGAAAAAAAAAGGCAAAGGUUGGUUCUGAUAAGAGCAGAGAAAUCACAAGGAGAAACCCAGAAAGGCAGGCGUGGACUAGGACUGGUUCAAGAAAGGCAGGAAGGAAGAGGGUGGUCUAAGCAAACAAAACAGAGGCACAUGAUAAUAAGAAGAAAGAGAAAACAUUAAAACACGGCAAUGGCAAUGGCAAUGGCAAAUUGUGGCAUGGCACAUCUUAUGUGACUCCUGCCCUGAUAGAUGGGCCAAACGUUUUUCAAAGACUGAGACUUUUAAUUUCUUUAAUUAAUUUAUGGGAACCGACAGUCUUUCGUCAUUAAAAAAAAAACGCGCUGGUUUUUUAUUCAUUAUGGUUUUUCUUUUUUUCUUUUUUACUCAAAAGAGGUAGAGACAGAGGGAUGCUUAAGAAUCAGGAUAUGUUUUGUGUUUUUAUUUGGCAUGCACUUCUAGAAAGCCAAAAGGUCAAAAAAUAUUUUUACUGAGGGGGUUAAAUAUUCUUUUCUUUUGGCUUAUUUUUUCUUGUCUGGUAUUCGGAUUAUGAGAGGGGACACAGAGAGGUUUUGGGUGCAUGCAUGAUGCAGGGAUGGGGGAUGUUAAAAUAAAAUAAAAUUACAAAAAGGUAAAAGAAACUGCAGAAUUUAUAGCAGUUGGUAGUUACUUGUCGAAUGGCAGUUGGUUUCAUUUUGAUACCUUUAUGCUUAUGGGAGCUAAGUAUGCUUAUCCGCAUAAUGAGAGUCAGUAAGUCAUCUUAAAAAGGCUUCAACCACAAUGCUAAAAGGUAAUUUGAGAUUAUAAGGACAGACAGAGGCCGUAAGAUCGGGGAUAUAGGUAAAGGUAAUCUAUGGAAAUCGAAUGUUUUUUUCUUUGUUACAGUGAUUGGACUCAAAAAUAUGGUAGGUCUCAAUUUUCAUGAAAUAUUUUUCAAUGGUUGGAUUAUUUAGUACUAUCUACUCUAUUUUGGAACCAAAUCCACUAAUUAAUUUCCUUUCUAUUUUAGGAGAUACGUUAUACGAGAAAGAUGAUGAAAAAAAAUAAACUUUUACUCCGCGUUUGAAUGAGGGAAAAUAAAUUUACGAACAAAUAUUUAUAAAUUCCACAUCCAAACGUAAAGUUAUAAUAUAGUUUAUUUGUCUCAUUUGGGGUUUAGCAAGCUUGUGUUUUGGUCAAGCACAUACUGGGUAGAAUAGAUGGUGAUGGUGGUGCAUUCAACAUGCAUAGCACUAAACUGUAUUUAUAGUAGUGACCCUCCUUCCUUUCUUUCUUUAAUGAUGGUCAAUUAAAUAUAUUUAUGGAGAUAACCCUAAUUCUUCCAUUCAAAACAACUAUCUUUUAUGUGCAAUGUCGAUGGCACACACACUAGUACAUCAGCCGCCCACUUACUACCAUAUUUUAUUAUAAUUGUCUCAAAAGGGACAUUUGAAAAUUCAAACCAAAAAUCCUUGCUUUGAUCUUCAUGUGGUGACUCUAACAGCUGCUGCUGCCAUUCCAAGCCAAAAGGAAGUGAUUAAAUUUUUAAGCAUGGAAGCUAAAGUGAAAGUUAGUAACAUGCAAAGCUUCAAAUUAAAGACUUAAAAACAGAACUUUUCUGAAUAUAUAUUUGCUUAGUACUAAACAGGAUUUUAUCUUUACUUACUAUAAAGCAAGCUUUGGAGUCUGCAUAAUUAAGUAUUGGGACCGUACUAGCUAAUUUCAUUAUUCAGGUAUGUUAAUGCAAACCGGGAUUGGUAGCUACUCAACUACAGAAGACCCACCAAAGUUGUUCACUUAAUUCCUUAUCAUUCAUCAGCAAAAUUUAAAUAAGAGACAUAAUAAAUAAUUAGUUAUCAUCUUGUGACUAAUCAUCUCAAUUAUAUUAUAUAAUUGCCUUGCUUUUUGGGGCUGGUAAUCUUUGAGGAUAAAGACUGUAUUAAUAAUAAUUCUGAAGAAAACUGCCAUGAAUCAAGGAGGAAAUAAUCAAGGAUAUCCUUAGUGCCCGUAGCACAAUCUUGAAGGACUCACCAAAUUAUACAUAUUGGAGUCUAUCCUAAUUUGGAUGAUAAAACUUACUGUUAUGAUAUAGCUCAGUUGGUUAAGUUCUUUCAUCUUCUUUACUCAUGUGAGCAAAAGUUCAAAACCUCAAGGCACCCAAUGAAUAUUUGUAUGUAAAACCCCUCUUCCCCAUCACUUGUACUAAAAAAAUUACGGAAACCCAUGUUCAAAAAAAGUUAUGUAUAAACCAUUUAAACACAAAAAAUAAAGUAAUUUGUGAUGGAAAAAUUGUUAUGGACGAUACGUGAUUGGAUGAUAUGAAGCAAUUCUCUCUUCUUCUUUUUCUGAGCUUGAAAAUGGCAAAAGAACCUUUCAAAAAAGGAAAAGAGAAAGUGUAUACUGAUAAAGAGCAAGAAAAAGAAUGAACGCCACCAUUGAGGAUAAUGACCUGAAAAUAGUAAAGCCUUUUCAAGGCACAACAUUUCCAAGCACAACCAUCUAAGUAAGAGCUCACCCAUUUCAUUUGUCUCUCUUCUCACAGACAGAGUUGCCACUAGCUAUGAUUGGCUAGGGUUCCUUAGGAGGAUAAUCUAGGACUUGGGAAACCAAACCAAAUGACAUUCCACUAGACGUCAAAACUACAUCAUCGUAUAAUGAGUAAACAUUUUUAGCAAAAACCACUAGAUUCAUGAUCAAUGAGUAAAAGGGAAAUUGUUGACAACUAUUAUAACAUGUCAGUCAAUAAAUAGGAUUAAUGUUAUGAAAAUUGAGUUAAAAAGUGAGAUUUUUUGAAUGCAUUUCGACGCAAUAAGAAUUGUACAAUGCUAAAUGAAAUUUCAAAUAGGAGUGUAUUGAGGAGUUCAAUUCAGUCGUUUAAUAAUAACAUUUUUAUUUAUCAAACCUCGAACGGCUAUUAAGAAAUCCUUCACUAUAAACCCUCAUUAUAAGUUACUAACCUCUCAGCAUGCGCUUCCGCGCUUGCGAGAGGCUUUAUUUUAAAAAAAAUUUAAAAUUUUUUUAGAAUUAAAAAGUAUUCCAUAAAAAUAUGAUCUAUUAUUUUUUAUUUAAUUUUAAUUUUUUAUAAAAAGUGUGAAUUUACCAUAUUAUCCUCAUUUAAUUAAUAAAUUUAGUUCUUAAUGUUUGCAUCAACCAAGGAUAUUUUCUGCUAUUUUGAAUAUUUCACCAUUAUCUGCCUUUUACUUUAUAUAUAUAGAUAACACAUCACUAAAGCCUUACGGUUAACAUUGGCAACUAAGAAAGCCCAUUCAUAUAACUGUAGGCUUAGUUUUUCAGACUGAAAUUGUGAAGAAGGCCCAUUGUUGAAAUCCCAAUGGAUCAAUUCGGAUAUACCCAUUUAAUAUCCCAAACGGAUAACAGAGUUGCAGACAGCAACCAAAAUAACCAAGCAGCAAGACGAAGACGCGCUCUCACUUACAGUGACAGAGUGACCGCCAUAAAUGAACCAUGAACCUCCUCUGCAACCCAAUACACACCUUCCCCUAUAAACCCUUCCCUCUAUUUUCCCUCCAUUCCUCCCGCUCUCCCUUCUUCAACUCAAAACGCUCGUUUCAACCCCAACCCAUCAUCACCUUAAGCACAAGGACUCGGAGCUAUGUUGCUAUCAAGGCAGCAGCAAACUCCGAAAUUGACAUGGUGCAGAACAAGCAAGGCAUAUACACUCCGAAGCAGAAGAAGGUGGUGAUCUUAUGGGACUUGGACAACAAACCCCCUCGCGGGCCGCCGUACCAGGCAGCCAUGGCCCUGAAACAGGUGGCUCAGCGCUUCGGUGAGGUCGUAGAGUCGUCAGCCUACGCCAACCGCCAUGCGUUCGAUCAUUUGCCUCAGUGGGUCAUCGAACAACGCCGCGAGCGCAAACAAUUAGACAUAUUGGAGCGCAAGGGUGUAGUCGUUCCUUCUGAGCCUUACAUUUGUGGAGUAUGUGGUCGAAAGUGUAAGUCCAAUUUGGAUUUGAAGAAGCACUUCAAGCAGCUGCACGAGAGGGAGAGACAGAAGAAGCUGAAUCGAAUGAGGUCUCUGAAAGGGAAGAAACGGCAGCGUUUUAAGGAGAGGUUUGUAUCUGGGAACCACAAGUACAAUGAGGCUGCGAGGUCUUUGAUCAAGCCCAAGGUUGGGUAUGGGUUGGCCUCGGAGUUAAGAAGAGCGGGUGUUUUUGUGAAGACUGUGGAAGACAAGCCUCAGGCUGCUGAUUGGGCAUUGAAGAGGCAAAUGCAGCAUUCUAUGAGCCGUGGGAUUGACUGGUUGUUCUUGGUUUCGGACGAUUCAGAUUUUUCGGAGAUGUUGAGGAAGGCUAGAGAGGCCAACUUGGGGACUGUGGUGGUGGGGGAUUUUGACAGAGCUUUGGGAAGGCACGCGGAUGUUUGGGUGCCUUGGAUUGGGGUCGAAAAUGGGGAGGUUUCAGAGAAGGAUUUGGUACCCAAAAGGAGGAGAAGUGAGUUCUUUGAUGAGGAUGAUGAUGAUAAGGGUGAUGGGUUGUUUUCGCAUUCAGUUUUCGAUGGUGGCAGUGAAUUGGACAAUGUGGUUGAUGAACUUGUUGUUUCUAGGCCCCUGUCUAGUGGAAUGAGGAUUUCGGCUUUUUCGGAAGGGGAAUUGGAAGAAGGAGAUUGGGUGGAAGACGAUGGGGAUAGUGAAGAUAGUGAGGACUAUUUGCUGGAUAGUGAGGAUGAGGAAGAUGGAUUUUUUUGAUAUGGCAAACUUAGUUGGUUGUUGGAUCAGGCAUGUGAUUGAACUGAUACUUUGAGGCCAUUUUGAUUCAAUUGUGGCACUGGUUUAGUUUUUUUUUCUGAGGUUGAGCAAAUAUGCAUUGGGGGUGUAUAGGAAUAUACAAGGAGAUGAGGAAGGAAUGGCUAUGGCUAUUCUAAUUGAUUAUUCAUGGCAAGGAUGCACUUGGUUUUUGUCACCAUGUAAAGUGUUUAUAGUUUCUUCAUUUAAGAAUUCACAGGAUAUGUAUGGCCAGAAUUUCCUUCUUCAUCAUACACAAUUUGAAGGUUCCAAAUUUCUUUCGUUUACAUUUCCUUUAGCUUAGUAUGAAAUGAAUACUAGUGCUUAUGGUUCUGCCCUAAUAAUUAGUAAUCCACUAACUAAAUUCUAUCACAAUUAGCUAUAUAUGUUUAUUAUAACAUUGCAUUUCAUUUGUUGUUUGAGCUUUUGAAUCAUGCUUAUUCUUAGACAUGCCAUUUUGUGGGUUAUGGAUACUUCGAAAUAUACAAUUGCAAUAGGUGGUUGAUCAGUUGCAUUUUACCAACUGCAGGCAUUUCCAUUUCCCCUCAAUCCCAAAGUUUUUUUUCCCACUGACGUUUCUUUUGCUAAUUAGAUAAAGAUAAAUAUUAUUGGGAUGAUGUUGUCAAAUGCUUUGUAUGUACUGGUUUCAAAUGUUUUUCCUUCUCCAUAUCUGGAAUCACUUGGAAGCACAUACAUACAAUUGUUGUAAUAACUAAAACCUGGAAUUAGUAUAAUUUUGCUGGGACACAAAUUGGAUACCUAAUCACGUUACGCUUUGAUAGAUCGCAUACUUUGUAAGAGCCUACAUGCAUAUAGAACAAAUCCUUUCUCUUCGUAGAAGCUUCACUCAACAUUAUAGAUUGAAAGACCCUACAUCUAUAUAGUUUGAGUUUUAACUUGUUUUCGUUGUUAGGGACAACUCUAGUGUAGCAGCCAAAUGGCAUUUCUAUAUUUCAAGUAUGAAAUUUUGAUACUGAUAUGCAAACACUGAUAGUUCCUUCCUACAAUUUGGUUCACCCAACAUUAAUUGUGUGGUGUGCGAAAACAAUUUCAUGGAAUUCUAUCAUCAUGAAGGCUUGGUGAUCGUAAAUAGGCGCAACGGGCGCCAAUGUUGGGGUUGCAGAUGGCUUUCUAUGAAUCUUCUUUAUACAGGUAUUCAUCAUUCCUGAGUAGCAGAAGGCCUUAUCAGCCUGGUGGAGGUUUCUGGCCAUAAGCUUCUGGAUCCUAAUAAAGAGGUCAGAUCAGUUAAUCAGCAAUUUAUUUGGAACAAGCGUAAAGAUUUCCGAUACUAUAUGUUGUAAGUUGACUCUGUGAACUGCUCUGUAAUUAGUAGCCAUUUCAUUUGGAAUAAUAAUAAUAAUACAAAGGUCAUGCUUCCCAUGAAGGCAUAAACUCUUAGGCGCAAAUGUGCAUUUUGUGUGUGUUAAUUUUGUUAGUGAUUGAAUGUUAGAAUAGUUAUGAGUAUGAUUAUGAUAUGCCUAAAUGACAAGCAAGAUAUUCCUGUCCAUGACAGAAACUGAUAUGCAGGCAGAGACAACCUGAAGAAACCCCAACGAGACAACUAUUAGAAUCAUUUACUUAUUAUUUAAAUAAUAUUUUCUGGUGUUUUCAUGUUAUUAUUGUUUUGGGAAGGAGGCAAUAUCCCUUGUUUUUUUCCCAUUAGUUUCUUUGCUGCCGACUGAAGUCUGAAUGAAUCCCCAAAGUUGGCGAGCCCCACGUCCCACUAUAUAUAUAUAUAUAUAUAUAUAUAUAUAUAAUCCCUUCUCAAAUAAAAAAUAAAUAAAAAGUAGGCAAACUUGUCCACGUCGCCCGGUGUGUUUCAUUUCUAAAUGCCAACAACUUUGUCGACAGCCAAAAAAUAUAAUUUAAAAAAAGAAGAAGAUUGUAAUAAAUAACGUAUGCGUCUUGAUGUCCAUUUAGGCCAAAGCUUAGACUUGAAGUUUUCCAUGUUUCUCGUCAUUUGCUCUGCUUUUCCAACCGCCAAAACGAAAACGAUAAUGAAUGAAUGGAAAUUGGAAUUUUGUAGCCUCGUCCUCCGUUGCCGUUGGUUGUAUGGCAUUGGCGGGUGCCCAAGAAAAAACAUCGUCCCAUGGCCAUGGGCCAUGAUAUCUUUGUAUUUAAUUUGUUUUUUUCUAGUGACACAAUAAUCCAAUUUUGUUCUCAGCUGGUGGUGGGGGACUUGCUAUGGCCCAUUUUAACGGUUAAGAUUCGUCGCACCCUAUGGGCUUCUACAUUAGGGCCUAGCACAACUCAAACAAAAUAUUUAUUUAUUUAUUUAUUAAAAUCUUUUAUUUUUUUAGACGACUUUUUAAUAUAUAUAUAUAUAGUCUAAAUUAUAUAGAGAGAGAAGUUUCUCACAAAAACUAUCAAUAAGUUAUGGAGAUUCGAACUUAAAAUCACUAUUUUAAAAGCCAAAAGACAUUUUUCACUUGACUGGAUCCCUUUGGCUUUUUGAGAAAACUUUAAUUUCUAAAACUUGAAAUAAAAUAAAAUACAAAGGAGGUCUACGGGUUGGAAUUUGGCAGGAUAGUUCAAAGCGUCGUGGUGCCUUCUCCAACUCCCAAAUAUGAGAUAUGAAUGAGUGACAGAGAAAACCUCAUUCCACUGCUGUUGGAUUAUAUUUUAUUGUUUUAUUUAGUAAGGCGGUGCCAUUGCAGCCUAAAACUUUUUCAUGGCGUUGAAGUCAAUAUUCAAUUUGACCACCCCGCAAUAAUUAUCCACAAGCCACUGCACAGCUGACACGUACCUAAAAAUCAUUUCUUUUUAGGUGGCCCCUGCCAAUAGCUAGCCUAUAAUAUUAUAAAACAAAAUUUUGUGGAGGCAGUAUUUUGGAAAUUAAAUAAAAAAGGGAAUUUUAAUUAUCAUUAAUACAGGAAACAUUACUAUAUAGAAAACAAGUGACAGGUCUUUGGGGGAAAUAACUUGAACCGAACUGAUUUUAUAGUUAUCAACUCUAUCUUUUUCCUAUUUUCUACAAUUCCACUUAUUGAUGUUGCCAUCUGUCUAUAUCCAUCACCGACCUCUAUGGCCACCUCUUUCAUGGUCCUGAUUGUUACUUUUAAUCGCAAGUGGCAACAAACAAGUUGAAAAAGAAAAAAAUAAAGCAAAACCAAGCGUGAAGAAAAAAAAACAAGGAUCUUUUAGCCUUCAUAAAAAUAAAAAUAAAAAUAGAAACAGGAAUUUUUAGUUAAAGUAAUUAAGGGUAUUUAUUUCUGUAUUAUGAGGUUUUAAGUUUAAUUUCUCAUUUCCUUAAUAUUGAUUGUAAAUAAAAAACCGUGUGAAAAUAUAGUAAGCUUGUUAAGAUAGUAUGUUCACUCCUUUACAUCCGAGUUCAUUCCCAUUUCCGUAUAUUAAAUAGAGCAGUCCCGAUCUCUUGGAUCACAGGAGUCCAAUAGAUUUGUGGUCACUCACCGUUGGAUGUAAAUUCAACGGUUCACUACAGUCCUGAUCUCUUGGACCACAGGAGUCCAAGAGAUUUGUGGUCACUCACCGUUAGAUGUAAAUUCAACGGUUCACUACAAUCCUGAUCUCUUGGACCACAGGAGUCCAAGAGAUUUGUGGUCACUCACCGUUGGAUGUAAAUUCAACGGUUCACUAACAGUCCCGAUCUCUUGGACUCCUGUGGUCCAAGAGAUCGGAACUGUAAUUAGAAUAUAAAAAAAGAGUGAAGAAGAAAAAGCUUUUUUUUAACUUCUAAAAAAAGAGUGACUUUUUGCCUAAAAAAAGAGUUAAACAAAUUUGAUAGAAAUUGAGAAUUGUCCUUGAAUUGUUUCAAAUAGAAACCAUUAGAAAAAAAAAUUAACUAAAUUAAAAUGAAAAGAAUCAAAAUAAUAAAAAUGGCAAACUACUGGAACUAAAAAUGACUUUUUGAAAGAAAAAAAAUAAAAAAAUUAGUGAAGAAAAAAGUUACAACAACAACAUGAGUAUGGUCCAGUUAUUUCAGUUUCACAAACAAAACCUGAGCUCACAAAAUAAUGUAAAAUUGUACAAGUGGAUUGCGUACAAGAGGUGUAAACAUCCAUCCACGUCGGCUCUCACAUGCCCACAAAACCGCCUACGUGGGCCCCACUUUUGCAUAAAAAUAAACUACAAAAUGCCUUUUCGUACUCACUAAAGGAGAAACAAAAGAGAAACGGGAGGAGAAAGACGAGAGAGAAGAUGGUAUAAAACGUAGCGUUUUAGACACAGAGCUGAGUGAGAAGGGGAGGGAGAGAGAGAAAGGGUGGGAGCUGAUGGAAUAUGUCGGCCAUUUUUGGAUUUAUCUUCAAGAUACAUCAACGUGGCGGCCGUGCCCGGACGACAGACUAGCAGCCAAGUACGAAACUAAUCUAUCUUUAUGCCCUCUAUCUGUUUGUAUAUAUUUCCCUGUGAAUAUAAUAUGACCUUUGCUCUCAGGAAUUGCAAGAGUUUUCUGAUUAUUUUCAUUUGGUUUUUUUCGUUUUUGUGUUUUAGGAUUAUUUAGUUUCUAAAGCAACCACAACAGCAGCAGAUUAAAAGGGUUUUGAUUAAUAUUAGGUAGCUUCUAACUUUUCUCGGGAUGGAAGGAGAGUAUUGUUGUUCUUCAUCUUCUUCGUCUUCAACAACCACAACAACAAGCAUAGAGAAGCGCAAGCAGAGGCAAAACCAGCAGCAACAGCAACAAGUAGGAGGCAACCAUGAUCAUCGUCAUCAAGAAAAGCAAUACAGAGGGAUACGGAUGAGGAAGUGGGGGAAGUGGGUGGCUGAGAUUAGAGAACCCAACAAGAGGUCUCGAAUCUGGCUUGGUUCUUACACGACGCCGGUUGCCGCCGCCCGAGCAUACGACACCGCCGUUUUCUACCUCAGAGGCCCUUCUGCGCGCCUCAACUUCCCGGAACUUGUGUUCCAAGAAGACGGCCAGCAGCUACACGACAUGUCGGCGGCUUCGAUACGAAAGAAGGCUACGGAGGUUGGGGCCAAGGUCGACGCCGUCGAAACUGCUCACCGCUCACCAAUAUCGCAGUCGAAAACGACGUCGAGCCUGGUGAAUUCCCAGAAGCCUGAUUUAAAUAAGUAUCCCGACCCAGAAAACUCUGAUGAAAAUUAAUUGAAAAAAAAGAGGUCUUUAGAGAGAUAUGAGGCUGAUCGAUCACCAACUGUUUAUAUUAUUUUCCUAAUUUCUGGCUCUCUUUUUUUUCUUUUUUCUUUUUUCUUUUGAGUUCUUAUAUUUAUAUAUUUAUAUUCAUGAUCUUAGUUUAUCAUCACUAAGCUAGUCUACGUGUGAAAUAAGUGAAAAUAUAGAGAAAAUAGAGAGACGAGAAAGGUAUUAUUGGGUCUGUUCAGAGAACAGAAUCAAAAGGGUUCUGUUUGAUUGGUAUAGUUUCUCUUUCUCUUAAAUUGUAACAUCAACAACAAACCAGCUGAAGAGCAAAAGUUCUUAGUUACUGGUCAUCAAGGAUGACAAGGAGUUCAAAUUCAUUUCAGUAUUUGCUUUCUUGAGUUUUUCCACUCUUGAUUUUUAUGGUUUGCGCAAUCAAGUUAUUUUGAUAUGUUAUCUUGCCCAGAAGACAAGGUGGUGUUACUGUAACACGCAAUAAUUUUUCCUUCUCAUUUGGGUUUAGAGAAGAAAUUUGUUAGGUGUGGAUACAGUGGCUAGGCCUAGAAGGGUCAUUGGCUUGAGGCUAGUGCAGCUUGCUUUGCUAGGGCAAUUGGGGUUUUGGGCCCCCCAAAUUUUACCAAGAGAAACAAAACAGAAAGAAAGAAAGCAACAUUGGUGUGGCCUACGUUUGGUUACUGUACUGGUACGAUCUUGUUGAGUUGCCAAACAAAAAACACAAGUAGAUAAGGAGAUAAGGAGGAGUUGGGGCACCAAGAAGAAGAGCUGCUUGGUGAUGACGUGCUUGUGGUGUGAAGUAUGAUGAAGGAGAAAGCAAGAUGGUCCUCCUCAAUCAAAUAGGUUGUCCCUGUCAUUAGACUCACACACUCCAUAUUUUGGUGGAAGCUUACGACAGUGUGUGUGUGUGUGUUUUUUUUUGUUUUUUUUAAUUUUUCUGAUGAUGAUGAUGGAUGAUGGACGGUGGACGGUGAGCCCUUUCUUUUUUUCUUGUUUUGUAUUAGAGGUGAUUAAUGAAUAAUUAGUAAUAUAUUAAUCUUCGACUGUGAUCUGUAUGGAGACCAAAUUAAAACUGAGUUUAUGAUACGUGUGGGACGAUUCUAUUUUCUCUUUUGUUGCCAAAAUCUGCGGCUGCCCAAUUGUCUUGUAAUCAAAAUUUGACUUUUUCUCUUUGUUUUAAUUUCUUAUUGGAAUAAAAUUAAUUUACGGUAUUUAUGGAUCUUGCAGGGCUUGUUAUAGUUUCCCUUCAUCUUGAUUAUAAAUCUGCUUUGAUUGUCUUUUUGCCAAAUGAUUAAAUCGUACUUACUAUAUUAAACCUGAAAUAUAAAUCUCAUGAAGCGUAUGACUUCCAAGAAAUCUCCGUAACCUUCAACAUUCUUUCUUUGAAGUUACCAUAUGACUUUUGUACUUUAUUAAAAUCAAAGUUCACUAGUUUUUUUAAUCCACAGAUGCUUUUGUGGGUAAUUAUCUAUUGGCGGUGGGAUGUCUUAGUCAAAAGAUUUGACAGAAAUACUACUAUCAAAAGUUCAUGAGCUCUAAACUAGCGUAAUUUUCGCUUCAAGUAACCCGAUGAAGUGGGGGGAAAUUUUUUUAUUAUGUUGUCAAAUUCUCAAUCUAAAUUAUUGAUUAGAUGAAUUAUUGUCUUAACACACGUAAUGUUAAAUUGGCAGGCAUGUAAAAUUACCGAAAAAUUAGUUCCUGCAAGAAUAUUUUUAAACUGGUAAUGCCAAGUUCUGCUUAAACCUGAUUAUAGUUGUCUUUAAGCCUAUGUCUUUUAUAAUAUCUUAUCUUUCCUUCUCCAUUCGAAAUGCCUCACCACAUAAUAACUUGACUUUAUAGAAAAGGGGCAUUUCGGUGGCGUGUGUAGCCAGAUGACAGGGUCUCCUUUACAGAUAAACAUGCACUUUUUGAUUCAUAAAACCACAUUUCUAUAUAGAAAAGCUCAGUUUGCUUCUCAAUCAAAACAACACCAUUGUAUCCAAAACAAAUAUCUUUAAAACCAUGACAGAAUGAAAGAAUGGUGGUUUAAGAAUUUCUUCAAACCCUAAUCACUCUGGAAUUUCUGGUUUAUUAACUCAAGACAUGAACCUUCCUUCACAAGUAAAAGCCAAACCCAAUCGAAUCCCAAAGAUAUUGAGAUCUUUUGUUGGAUGAAGUACUUCAGCUAUGUGGCAAAAAGAAGAUAACGCUUUCCCACCAACAAAAGCUAAGACUAAGAGGAUCAUAUAAUAAUAUUCAUUUGGCCUUCAACAAGUCUAGACUUGUCCAAAGUCCAAACAAAAUCUCACAGCCUUAUGUCCAAUCCAAUCCAAGGAUUAAGUGAUUGAGAGAUAAGUGUGUUUCCUAUCUGUGGUGUUGGAUAUCUUUUUUAACUGUCACAAGGAAAAGUGAAAAAGAAAGCUGCAAUUUGCCAUUUUUUAUCCAAAAUGUUGCAGUCAAAAUAUAGCCCUCCUCAUCACCUGAAAUAUACAAAGGGCCAGUUUUUGAGCAUUGACUCUUUUUUUUUUUUUUUUUCUUUUUUUUAAAAAUAAAAUGUCACAGCAAUCCAUCCUCACAAUAAUGCAAGCUAGCAAGCUACAAGACAGAAGUUCAGAAGCAGCAGAAAGAUCUGAAUACAGAAAAUGACCCCCAAGAGAGUGACAGAAACUUAGUGCCAAACCUUGAACACACUAGAACUCGAAAGAAUCAGCAUAUGCCUGUUCCUGUCAACUUCUCCUUAACAUCCAAGGCAAUCAAUACACAACAAACUGACAAAACCAAGUAUAAGGACACACCAUCUGUUUUGAGGUAUUUUCAUCUUCAAGAUUUCACGGUGGAGCUUUGCCCAAGAGCAGUUCAAAAUUCCAUGGGUGCAUGAAAACAUUAAUUACGUACAAGGACUUUUCUAUAAGAAAGGAACAUUUUUUUUAUUAAUGCGUGUCAUCCUUGUGUAGGGACCAUGCUAAUCUUUUUUGUAUUGUUCCAAUUUUAUGGAAUGUACCGGAGAGAACUUCUAUAGGAUAAUAUUAAACGGGCCCUAAAGAAGUAAAGAUGAAAAUGGCAGAAAAAUAAAAUUGGAUAGUGGAAAGCAGUUAGCCAUUAGCUGUGAACUGAUGAGCAGUGUCCACAGCAGAAUCAGAAUAUCAUAUAAAUUCGGUGUUGUUUUUUUCUUUUUUUUUGAAGCCUCAAUUGUUGUUUGCCACUCAAAUGUGUGUCUGGAUAGAUAGUGGAUGGCGAAUCAAAGAAUCCUGAGACGAGACAAGGCACCUUGUCAUCCUAGCUAGCUGACCAAAUUUUGUUAAUUUACAGAAAACUUUGACAUGAUCUUUAAAUCACUGAGAGCCAAGCCAUUAUUUUAUUUCAUGUUCAACAUGUAAAACGGAAAAAUCAAGAUUAUCGUGGACAUAUUAGCUAGGGUGCACAUGAUUCAAUUCCCAAAAGUAAAAUGCAGAAACAUUGCAUGUGUGCCAUAAUUUGUAGUAGCAGUCAAUGUACGUAACAAAUUUAAACACCAUGAAUUUGUCUACAGCCAGCAAAAUUAGACUUUGAAUAAAUAUCCAUACCCAUAAACCAAUCAUCAUCAUCAUCACACGGCUCUAGUUCACGUGUUGGUUGAAUGAAAAGCAUUAGACACAAUUAAAUUAUUACAGCAAAAAAUAAAUAAAUAAUUGAAAACGGGUGUAGGCCUGGAGGCUAUCGACCCAACAAAACAACUGAGAAUAUUCGAUGCCCAAAUGAACUCCAAGACAAGACCCCCCACAUAAUUCUCACUGUAUCCAACAUUAAGUAUUUCAUGAUUUGGGCCUUGCAUUGGUUCUUCAUUAAUUCCAUCUUAAGACAAGUCCUUGCAAACCUCAACAUACUGUAAGUCUGUAACUAAACAAAGUUUCUUAUAGAAAGAGAAAAAAGGUAGAAUUCAUUGUGGGUUUGGUAAGUUUCGUGUACUUUGUUUCAUAUGGUUCGAUUGUUCGCUUCAUAGGCUCCGGAUUUUUGCAUCAUUAUGUUCAUAGAGUCCAAUUUUUUAUUCGUUUUCUUCAUUGGGUUGAAAUUUUAGUUUUAUUAGGUUCAGUUUUGCUAUGCAGUGUAAAAAACUAUUGGUCGACCAAAACAAGAAUGUCAAAGACUAUUGCUGGUGCAAGUGAGCAGCUCCAUUCAUUCAACUAAUGGACGAGGGGGCACGUGGCAUUUGUAGGACGUCUAAUUGGACAUUGAUUUCAGACGCUUUAAGAAAAGAGUGUGACAGCUGCACAGUCGCAUAUGGAGUCUCCAAGGAGAAGAAGAAGAUGACAGAGAAAGAGACUUUUUACAAGACACAGAGAGAGAGAGAGAGCUGUCAAAAUAUUAACUAUCUUCGAGAGUUUGUGCAAAACACCAACACCGCAAAGCUAGCAGAGAAAAAGAAAGAGAAAGUAAGAGAGGUUAAAAAACAAACCCGAUGGAAGAAAAAGAAAAAGGGGGAGGGAAAAAAGAAUAUAUGAAGAAAAGUUUGUAUAGUGAGGAUCUUUCAGUGCCAUCAAUUCAAUUAAUUGUGUUUGGACUGUCAUCCAUUUACUUCUCCCUCCCCCAUACAAAACUCACUUUCCCUACACAUUUGCACCCACUUUCCCUUACAUGGUACGACCAUUCUCACCAUGCGAUCAUGUUCUUCAUCCCACCCCCCUCAACUUUCUUUCUUCUUUCUCUCUUGAGAGAAAAAUUUAUAUAAUAUAUAUAUAUUUUGAAAAAGAUAAAGGAGUAUGAAAAAGAAACACUGCAGAUCCAUAAAGUCAUGAGCUCAGUGUGUAUAAAGAUGCCCCCCAUCUAAAUCUAGUUGGGAAUAUAUUUCAAUCUCAACAAUGAUGGCUUCUCCAAUUCUCACUUUAUUUGGCAUAAUAGAGAUAGAGAGAGAGAGAGUGGAAGGUUUAGUCAGUGACAUUUGCAUCGAUCACAACAAUCCCUUUCCAUCAAUUUCCAAGUUAAAAAGGCUUCCAACCCUAGAUGAGGAAUAGAAAAUCUAAAAGUCAUUAAGCAGAAAAGUAGCUGACACAUGACCUUUAUCUAUCACUACUCUACGACUCCAUGUACAUAAAAUUUGAAGAUAACAAAGAUAAAAACGAAAACAAAGCAAAAGGAAAGGAAAGGGUAUAAACAAAAAAAAAAUGUAGUUAAUAAACCAAACUAUUAAUGCCUUCCUCUAAAGGUUAAGGGAAAUUAACAUACGAAUGCAUGACAACCGUACUAAUAUAUUGAUAUAUAAAUAACUAUUAACUGUUUAUGCAUUCAUUUGUGAGCAACCCGUUCAUAGAAGAGUCAAAAUAGGGAGGAAAGAGUUUUGAUUUUAAAGCUACAGUUUGGUUUUUAGUGUGAGAGUAGAGGGAGUGAGAAAUAAACAAGAGAUUGAUGGGAGUUGAAUGUGGUCCAUUGACACGUGCAAAUGAUGGCAUUGUCUUGGCUAAUGAUGGAUUCCCACCGCUUCUUCCACUGCGUGGGUUCCCACUCCUAUCAUGCCACCCAACUUCAUCACCCCAAUUUGUUUGCAUCUCCUCUUUUUCUUUGACCGACAAAAUAACCCUUCAAAUCAAAUUAUUUAUAUCAAUCUUGUGCUACUUAAUUAAUUAGCAAAGUCAUGAUCCUCUUCCGAUUCCUAUGGCCAUCUGAUCUGAUCAGUAUAUGUUUUCAUGAAUUGGGAUGUCCGCAGAUCAUAAUAAUAAUAGAUAAUAGUAAUAAUGCUUGAUUGGAUGUGACAUUUUUGGCCAAUAUCAAUGAGCAUCAUGCAUCCUGCUGGCCCUUCAUUUGGUAAUUCAAAGAAAAGCUUUCGAGAUAGUCGUUAAAAAUAAGGCCAAUCGUAUGUUUGUUGGGAAACAUUAUCUAAGCUAUGUGUUCAAUUUCUUUGCUUCUUCAAACGUAAGGCCCACAAAUAAUUCAAAUUAUUAGCUUGACAAGUUUGAAGGGGAAAUGUCCUAAUCCUGUGUUAACUAAUUUCUUAGCUUAAAAAUAUCUGCAGCAGGAGGGUAAAAUUUAAAAGGUUUAAUGAGUGGUCCUUGUUACUUGCAUGCAUGUAAUUAUCUAAAGCAACCUUAAAAAUAGUAAUUUUUGGUUUUAUGGAUCGACAUAGAACGGGUUAGGUGCAGAAUGAUGGACACCUACCUAAGUAGGAAGUAGGAAGUAGGAGCAGAUUUAUGUUAAGUGAGGAAAUUAUUUAUGUUGUCGUGAUUGAAGGGAGCUGAUAGGAUGUAAUGAUACAAGAAAUUUAUAUAUAUUUAUGCUUACGUGUGAGUCAUGUGUAGCUAAUAGCCAUUAGCUAUUAGAUUAUUAGCUCAUAAUCUUUUAAUUAAUUUCAACGAUGGUAUGAUUAUCGCACGCAUAUACGUCAAAGUAGAAUGACAAGUGUCCAAUGAAAUUACAAGUAAUUGGUCACCUCACCUUUCAAAAACGAUCUUCCACUUGUGGGAGUAUCCAAUUUUCAUUUUUCACCAUGCAAAAGUACACGCAAACUUACCUCUUCUGUCACUCUUAUUGUACAAGUAAAUAUUCCUACCUAGCUUACAUAAUUCAAUUUUGUUUUCAUCAAAUCAAAAACCAGAGGGUCAGGCUCACUGUCCCCUGACAAGGGCUAAUUACAACUAGUCCCUAAAUAAAUAAAUAAAUAAAUUUUUUAAUGUAACAAAAAAAACCAGUGCAUCUUGAUUUUUCAUAUAACUUACUAAUUAUAGUCAUUAAUAAUGUAAUUUUUGACUUUUUACUCUCUAGAGCAUUGUACUUAAUUCAAAAAUAACAGUUUAACACAUUCACUGAAUAAUAGUCACUACUGCCAAAAUAUUUUCAAGGUAAUGGCAUUCCAGAUUGCUAAUGUAUAUCAUUAAAGAUAAAGUCAUUCAAUCAUAUAUAUUAUAUUGAUGUUGAUUAUAAUAUUAUAGUAUCAUGUCUUAAACAUAAAUCUUUCCAACUGUCCGAUGUAUAUCGGAUAGUACACUUUAAACAGGGUGUUUGCUUUCAUGCAACGAACGGGGAUAUCACUUUUUGCUAUAUUCUUGCUUAAACUCCUAAGAUAAAAUUUUCACAUUUUAUGGUAUUAAUGGCCGGAAAUAGCAAAACAGUAUUAUCCAUAUUGUAAGUAAGUUUUUCAGCUUAAUUCCAUUUUUCUAAAAAUCUAUCUAGAAACCCUUCCAUAAAAGGAAAACGAUUUCUUGAGCAAUUAUAAUGCCUUUGUUGUAUCGGAAGGAACAUCUGGCAAUUUCUACCUAGCACGACUUUGAGGAGCGAUAAGAAAUUUAAUAAUAAAACAAUUAGUUCAUGCAAUGAAACUGUCGUAUGUUGGAGAAUGGCUAAAGUGCAGAUUUGGUUGAGAUUUGUUGUCCAUGUUAAAGUCCACCACGAGUUCACAACAACGAAAUUAGCUGGUCCGCAAAUUAAACCGAACAUGGUAGCUUAAAGUUUUUUUGAUAACCUAGUAGUAACUAUUAAAGUUAAUUUGUCCAUAUUUAUAACCCAGAAACAAAAUGUCACACGUAUAGAUAAAGCACAGUAAAACAAGUGUUGCAUUACUCACAGGAAAUGUGAAUGUGAAUGUUAAAACUACAGAAAUUUCAUGCUGUUUUGAGUUUUGCAGUGAAAUUUUGUUUCAAUUUUAGUGUUGCUUUUGAAUUGCACAUAAUGAUGCAGCUUUUGGCAAAUAGAAGCUGGGUAAUUACCAUAAGGGGGAAAUCAGCUUAACUAAUUACCUCCAAGCUGAUUCAACCAAGACUUUUACUUCAAAUUUAUAUAUAUAUAUAUAUAUAUAUAUAAAUUAAUAAAAAAACAGAAAGAAAAUUCUUCACACAUAGUCUAAUUAAGGUUGGGAGAUAAGGGAAGAGUGUCACAUCAUGCAACCGAUCUUGGCACAUGAACCCUAAUUUAUAGGGGAUUAAGAAAGAUUUUGUCGACAUCGGUGCAUAAAAUUAAGAUAAUAUUAUUUGUCUUGCUCAUGCUAAUGCAUGCCUCAUUGUCAUUGCCUUUAAUUUCAAUAAUAUAUAUCCACAUUCACAUUUGGUAUUGUUUCUAAUACCAGCUUAGCUUAAGGGUACGAACUGACUUUUACUAACCUAAUUCCAUGAACAAUAGUGUUUUUUUGUUUUCUUUUUUGUUUUUUUAUGAACAAGAGUUGAAUAUUCUCUGCAGUCGUUGUGCUUUUGCAGAGCAGUGACACUGACACAGUUCAUGGUAAAUCUUUUUUCUGGAGAAGAAUGGCUUCCACGACGUACGCGUGUUGUUCCAAAUCCACAUAAUUAAAGCACUGCAAAUUAUGUCUCUGAAGCAUAUUCAUUCAUACAAGAAAGAAACUAGAUUUCAUUCACAAAUUCCGUACUUUUUGGGCCCUCAUGCAACAUCAAAUUAAUGGAACUUCGUCUCAACCGCAUGCACACGCAGGUGUCUGUGAUCAUGAUUCUUGACUGUACACGUGUAAUGUGUUCCUAGCUGAAUCAAGCAUAUCUCUGCCCAAUCGACCACACGUGUAAUGCUCAAUUACCUACUCUCCAACAAUUAACUGUGUGCCUGAUUGACCGCAGUAAUUAACUAGACCCCCCCUGCCUGUAAAGCCAGUUAAUCAAUUUUACCCUAAACUCAUCAUUCUAUGCUGGACUGGGAAUAUAUAUAUAUAUAUAUAUAUAUAUAUAUAUACACUUAAGAUAUAUAUCAGAAAAGAGGUCUAUGCGUAAAAAGGAUAGGUUAUUGGUUAAUCCGACAACCGAGCCCUUAUGUAUUGAGAUACUCACCUAAUUUUCUAGAUCUUGUUCUUUCAUCAAUAAAAUUUUAUCGCUUUGAUUAUUAAAAACAAAUCGUAUAGAUAUAUAAAUAUAUUUAUACAGGAAAUGUUCCUCCCUCCUAUUGGCUUUGGCGGUGUCAAGGUAUUGGCAAACAAAAAUUGAAUUUGGGCAGAAAGUGGGGCUGGGAACUUGUGAGGGUUUUUUUAUUUAUACAAUUUGGGAAAAUGGAACUACGUACAGUUCCCAAAAGAAAGAGCCAAAAGGAUAUACUGGCUAUUUGGCUGUGGCUUGGCAUGCAGUGAGUCAGAUAGGGAUAAGAUUGGUUAGGUUGGAGUCGUGUGUAAGUUUUUUCAACGUUGUAUACGACUAAAAGAGUGAAAAUUAAGACUUAGAUACGACGGCAUUCAUUCAUAUUGAGUUCAGUUGUUUUGGUUAUAUUUGUUUAUAUGAUAUGUCGUAUCUUGAAAUUUGAAAAGCAAAGGGCAUGCAAAUGGCAAAAGGGCAAAUGGCAAAAGGGCAAAGGCUAGUUCCCAUUUUCAAGUUUUGGGAUUGGAGGAAUCUUUUUUCUUUAUAUUAUUAUUCUCCUCCCUCUUAUGAGACCCCUCGCUUUAUAGUGAAAAAAAGCUGGAGAGAGAGCCAAAGAGGCCACCGAAAAGCAUGGACACCUUAUCAUGAAAGCAAGAAAAAAACGACCCGAUUUGACGGGCCAACCCAAACGCACAUACACAGCUUUGCUACACACCCACACGCUCAUAGCUAGCUAACCUUUCACAUACUCAUACUCUCAUCUCUCAUACAUAUUGUUGCUUUGCUUGCCCUAUUAAUUAUUGUCUCUCUCUCUUUCUCUCUGCUUUCUCUUUUUCAUAUUUUUUUAGUGUGGAAAAUCCCAAGUCAACCGCACCUCAUCAUUUGGUCUCGCUUGUUCCAAGCACCACCUCAUUUCCCACUUUGUCACCUUUAAUUCUCUGAUAUCAUGAGCUUCUGUGUCUGUGUUCGGCCCUCCCUUAUAUAAUUGCUGCUUUACCUCUAUCAUUCAGCCCACUACCACCCACCACAUAUGGGAAUAAGCAGCAUGAAGGUGCACCAGUUCGCACGUGGACUCUGGGAACACGAACCCUCCCUCACUCUUGGCUGCACCAAACGCCUACGCCCUCUCGCUCCCAAACUGGCCAACACCACCGCAGGCGACACCACUACCACUGCCCUUGCUCCUUUCGACCUCAAGAGCUUCAUCAGACCUGAAAGUGGCCCUAGAAAACUAGGAUCCUCUGAUCAUCAGGAGAAGAAAGAUUCCCCCCACCCCCAGGUAUGCUAAAUUUUUCUUGCAAGCAUACAUUACUUCCAUGUCCACAACACGUUAACUUAUAACCAAACAUCUAAUUGUCAUACUGUAAAUUUAGCGAACGCAUUUGAAUAAUUAUCAAUAUUUUUAAUUUAUAGUCUGACAACAUAGUACAUCGUACAUCGAUCUCUCUAACGGUAAUUCUAAUAAUUAUAACAUGUGUACUCAAGUAUGAUGGACAUUAUUAAACAAAAAAAGUAAAUGGUUUCAACGAAUAAUUAUUAAGAAAAAGUAUUGAUGGUGCAGGUGGAGACGCACCCAGGAGGGACGCGUUGGAACCCAACGCAAGAACAGAUAGGAAUACUAGAAAUGCUGUAUAGGGGAGGCAUGCGCACUCCUAAUGCACAACAAAUAGAACAAAUAACAGCUCAGCUUGGCAAGUACGGCAAGAUAGAGGGCAAGAAUGUGUUUUACUGGUUCCAAAACCACAAAGCACGCGAGAGGCAGAAGCAAAAACGCAACAGCCUCGGCCUCAGCCAUUCUCCCAGAACACCAACUCCUGUAAUUACCAACGUAAGUUGCACUAUACUUAGUUACAAAGUUAAGCCGGUUUUCUUCUUCUUUUUCUUGGUUGUUUUUUAAAUUUUCUACAUAUAUUUUUGUUGCAGCUGGGAGAAGUAGUAGGGGAAAGAGAGGAAGAUAGUCCGUACAAGAGAAAGUGUAGGAGCUGGGGAUUUGAUUGCUCGGUAGAAGAUAGUGUAGUUUGUAAGGCGGACGAAGUCGUGGAGGGAGGUAGAGGUAGAACUUUGGAGCUCUUCCCAUUACAUCCGGAAGGGAGAUGAGAGGAGAGAUGAUCAUGGAUCGAUGUGCUUACUUUGACAUUAUAUCAUGUGCUUUCCUUUAGGUUUAAUUCCUUCUUCUUUUUCUUAUUCGUUUCGGGAAAGAAGAAAGGCAAGCAAGUGUCUCUUUGUACUGAUCUAUCUCUCUCCCUCUCUAGAUCUCUGCUACCACUAGAUGCCUUUUGGAGCCAAAAGGGUUUGUCAAUUGUCACUAAGUGCUCUUUAUUUCAAGCUCUCUUUCUCUAUCUCUGGCGAUGGUGGGUGUCACUGUUUUGACCACAGGGACUUGAAAUGUUGAAUCGAAGCUUUUUUAGGUUAAAAGCGCGCGGGAAGCUAGAUAUGGACACUGAAGUCCACGCACCUUCUUCUUCUUCUUUUUUAACCUACUAAGAAGACUAUCAACUCUUCGUUUUGAUCUUGCAUUUCAAAAUUGGAAAAGAGAAACGUCCUCUAGCGCCAAUGUCAAAAAAUUAUAAUGUUAUAUAAUUCGCCACUUAUAUGACUUUCACACAUAAAGUACCCUAUCAUUAUCAUUGAUUAUUACGAGAGACGUGCGUUACUAUUGUUUUUCAUCAUUGCCUUCCCUUUUUCUUUUAAGUUUUUUAAAACAUCUUGCGAGUGGAAUUUGGUGGGAUCACGGUCAUUAGCUAAACUGUAGUUCAUGAGAUUAAACUGACACGUAUUAAGUAUAUGGAUAUUAGGACUCGAACUCAAUAUUUUUUUUGAAGAGUCCUUUACACGAAUGCUAAUUUCAAACUUGUAGUUAAUUAAGUUCUUAAAAUCGAUAUUAAUUAUUAUGGAGUUUGAGGACCACAACCAAACAUUCAUGGCAGGUGAUGAUAGUAAUCAAUCGUACGUUCUCAAUCCUACAAUGAAAGUUUGUCUUAUGCAUGCAUGCAACAGCUUUUGAAUACAUAUGGUGGAGGGAGAGCUAAUUAGAUAUAUAUUAAUUGCAACUGAUUAACUAUAAUACAAUCAAGUAGAUUAUCUUAGAUGUCCGCUAACACAAUAUAUUGGAACUGGUUUAUACAACUAUACGCAAGAUCUUGAUGGGCCAUGCAUAUAUUGUGGCAAUCAUGGCAAUUCCACAAGUUGACUCUGCCAAUCAACCUUUUUUUCGGUGUACCAAUAAACUUUGUUUAUGCAUGCAUCAACAGAGUAUAAGAAGGGGCCUGGUCUAUCAAAAUCCCAAACUUCAAAAAAGAAGGCUAAUAUUGGUCAACAAGACGCCCAAGUUUUCUAGACAUGAAAUUAAAUCCCAACAAUUUCUGUCAGCUAUAUGAAUGUGGUAAUGUUUUAAUGCGGCGAUUCUUCCAAUCAUAUGACCGCAUAAAUUGACUUGUCAUACAUCGAUUAGAGAGGACUGAUCAAACCUGCUUCUUUCAUGGGCCAAAAUUUGUGACGACAAGUGUCUGUAUGACUGUAUGUAUCUUUGGAACUAAAAGAAAGUUAAAAUAUUUACAAAUUAUUUUUAUAACGGGCCAAUAUUUGUAAAACUACAUAACGCAAUAGAGCCAUUCAUAAUUAAGUGUCCGGCUCAUCAUAAAUAUAUAUCAUUGGACCAAAUGCUAGUUGGUAUUCAUCUAAACUCUUGUUCUCUGUAUUCAAUGCAAGAAUUCUUUAGUGAGGGCUUAUUUCUUAAUCAUUGGAUCAAAUUGAUUAGAUUGAUCUAAUAAUUAAGAGAUAAGAUCUCACUUAAAAGCCAUAUAUAAGGCCCUUACUAUAGAAUGACUCGUAUUCAAUAUAAUUCAAAUUGCACUGUUUUUGGGCAAGCGAGAAGAACAUGAAAAUGCAAGGGAAAAAAGAAAAGAACUUUGAAGCCUUGUUGGUCCAACCCAAACUCUCCAAUUUAGAUGCAUGAGACCCAACUGCUACACAAAUCCCCACAAGGGUCAAAAAGCCCAUUAGUUUUGCAAGUUGGGCUUCGUUUCUUAAUUAUGGGCCAAGCUGAAUACAUGACGUGAACUCAAACAUUUUGUUUGUAACAUUUCAUAUUCUUACCUAAUCAAUCUCGUGGGCCUAGCACAUCACAUGUCCUAUCACUACGUCAUCAUAGAUAUCCCGCCUGACUGUGGCAGCCGUUAAAAAUCCUAAACACUGAUCUGACGGCCCAUGUUUAGUUUCCAAAAUCAAAUUAGGGUUUCCCCAAGCCCACAGGCGCGCCGACUCACAUAUAUAAGCUAUGCAGUUAACUCCUCAGCCGGUGCGGUGCAGUUUUUUACUCUGCCCUCCUCACCCCAAAAACCCAAAAAAAUUAAUUUUCAGUUUUCCUGUUCGUUUUAUAUUUCCGUCGUACCGGUUCGAAUUUCGGACCGUCUUAUCCCCGAUUUUUGCCCCCUCUCCUCUGUAUCCUCAGAAAAAAACCAAAAAAUCUGCCAGAUUAUCACUUCCGGUCCUUAGGUUUUUUUCAACUUUAUCGCCGCCGGUCCAUUGAACUUUCGUUUCUCGUUGUCUGUUAUCUCUAGGGUUUAUUAUAACCCGAACAGAAAAAUCUUUAAAAAGAGAACCAAUUUGAAGUGAGGGUUUUGUGAUUUUGGUGUGAUGGCUCAGAUUCAAGUUCAGCAUCAGCCUCCGGUGACCGGACCGAACGGCGUCGCCGCCAACGCCGGUGGCGCUCCGGGCCAGUUCGUAUCGACGUCGCUGUACGUUGGGGAUCUGGACCAGAAUGUGACCGACUCGCAGCUUUACGAUCUGUUCAACCAGGUCGGCCAGGUCGUGUCGGUGAGGGUCUGCAGAGACCUGAGUACUCGCCGAUCUCUCGGCUAUGGCUACGUCAACUAUAGCAACCCUCAAGAUGGUUAGUCUUUCGCAAAAAUUUCAUUUUAAUUUUUAGUUGAUUAUUGCAAUAUUGUUGGCCUAAGUGCUUAUAUUAGCGUAAGUUGUUCGCUUUGCAUGUUGAAUCUUGCGUUAUUGAUAUGAAUACUGGACGAAAUGAAAAAUUAUUGGUUGUUUAUGGUUUCAUUAGUGGAAAUGAAUUCUUGAAUUGGACAUUAGAGAAUUUACAUUGGUUGAACUUAGCAGUUUGAAGCUUUAUGUUGACGAGUUUGAUAAGUCGCACAUUUAGGUGAUGUUAAUAUUUUGGAAAUUGUCUAUGAUUAUUAUUUUUCCCAUGGGAUAGGUUAGUUUGUGUAUUGGUAUUGAUUAUGCUGGAGGGGUUUGUGUGUGCGUUGUGUGGUGGCUUUUAUUUGGAACUUAGACAAAAAAAAUUUAUUUUAUGUUUAACUUCACUAAUGCAUAAAGGGUCACUGCUUCCGUCCCCUGCUGCCCGUCGGUUAUUGUUUAUGCUGUAUUUGAUUUGAUUUUUCUAACUAUGCAGCUGCGAGGGCACUGGAUGUUCUGAACUUCACUCCCCUGAACAACAAAUCCAUCAGGAUUAUGUAUUCUCACCGGGACCCUAGUAUUAGAAAGAGUGGAACCGGAAAUAUAUUUAUCAAGGUAUCUACGUUUUCUUGUAUAAUGAUUCAGAUUCCUUUCCCUCCCAUGAAGUUUCAUGUUGUUAUGUCUAUUUUGGUCUUACGCCUACUUUGUUCUUUCACAUGAGUGCAGAAUCUGGACAAGGCAAUUGACCACAAAGCAUUGCAUGAUACAUUUUCUUCUUUCGGAAAUAUUCUUUCUUGCAAGAUAGCCACUGAUGGCACUGGCCAGUCGAAGGGCUAUGGUUUUGUGCAGUUUGAUAGUGAAGAAGCUGCUCAGAGUGCAAUAGAUAAGUUAAAUGGCAUGCUGAUUAAUGAUAAGCCAGUAUUUGUGGGACACUUUCUUCGCAAGCAGGAGAGAGAUGGCGCUUGGAAUAAGACAAAAUUCAAUAAUGUCUAUGUGAAAAAUAUAUCAGAAUCUACAACAGAAGAUGAUUUGAAGAAAAUUUUUGGUGAGCAUGGACAAAUUACCAGUGUUGUAGUGAUGAGGGAUGGGGAUGGCAAGUCAAGGUGUUUUGGUUUUGUCAACUUUGAGGAUCCAGAUGCAGCUGCGAAGGCUGUUGACAAUCUGAAUGGAAAGAAAUUCGAUGAAAAGGAGUGGUAUGUUGGGAAAGCCCAGAAAAAGUAUGAGAGAGAACUUGAAUUGAAGGAGAGAUUUGAGCAGAGUAUGAAGGAAGCUAGUGAUAAAUUUCAAGGUGUCAAUUUGUAUAUCAAAAACUUGGACGAUAGCAUUAGUGAUGAAAAACUGAAGGAAUUAUUCUCAGAGUAUGGUACAGUUACUUCAUGCAAGGUCUGUGAACCUCUUUCUAUUUAAGAGUUCCAUUUAAAAAUGUGGUGGCAGUGACCUGGAAUAACAUGAUUUUCUUCUCCUGAUUUCACAGGUUAUGCGGGAUCCUGAUGGAAAUAGUAGAGGUUCUGGUUUUGUUGCCUUUUCAACUACUGAAGAAGCAUCUCGAGCUGUAUGUCUUUUAACUCAAGUUGUUUUAAAAUAAUAAAAUUAGGAAAAUAUGUCAUCAGAAAUUACAAUUUAUCUACCUCAACUGUGUACUUCCAGCUUGCUGAGAUGAAUGGCAAAAUGGUUGUUAGCAAACCUCUGUAUGUUGCACUUGCCCAAAGGAAAGAAGAGAGAAGAGCAAGAUUGCAGGUAUGGUCUACUGGGAGUGUUCCCAAAUUACGAUUGAACUUUGUGGUGUUCUUUCUUUUUAUCCUUAUGUUUGUAUUUAAUUUUUGACAGGCUCAGUUUUCUCAAAUGAGGCCAGUUGCAAUGGCACCUUCAGUGGCUCCUCGUAUGCCAAUGUACCCUCCUGGUGCUCCAGGUCUAGGACAACAAUUUUUGUAUGGGCAGGCACCUCCAUCGAUAAUUCCUCCACAAGUAAUUAUUUAUUUAAUUGUCUUUUUAAUAUGGUUGAUUUUCUAUAUCAAUUUUGAUGAGUGUGUCUCAAUAUUUUUGUUUUUAAUUAUGUAGGCUGGAUUUGGUUACCAACAGCAACUUGUGCCUGGAAUAAGGCCUGGUGGUGCUCCAAUGCCAAACUUCUUUGUUCCAAUGGUCCAGCAGGGUCCUCAGGGCCAACGCCCAGGAGGUCGACGUGGGGCAGGUCCUGUGCAACAAAACCAGCAGCCAGUCCCAAUGAUGCAGCAGCAUGUCAGUCGAAACAUAUGAGUUUCAUCUUGAUGUUUAUAUGUGUGAUGUUCUUUUAUUACAUUUAUUUACGUUCGCCUUUCUCUGUGUUUCAGAUGCUUCCUAGGGGACGCGUGUAUCGCUAUCCACCUGGUCGCAACAUGCAGGAAGUUCCAUUUUCGGGAGUUCCCAGUGGUAUGCUUUCAGUACCAUAUGACAUGGGUGGCAUCCCAAUGCGAGAUGCCGCAGGAGGGCAGGGUGUUCCAGCCUUGGCCACAGCCCUUGCAAAUGCUUCAACUGAGCAGCAAAGGACGGUAAGCACAUUUCCUUUUUUUCUUGAUACUUGGGCCGAUGUUUUGAUCUACAUCAGCCUUUCUUGAGAAACGAAGUCAUAGGCACGUAAUUUUAGUAAAAGGUGCUUUAGAUGCACGUGGUUCCAAGUUGAUACCAAAUAAAAAAGAUUUUGGUUAUAGCCCUCACUGACGGAGUAUAAAUAGCACACUGGAUGGAUCAUUCAAUGCACUUAGUGAUUUGAUUUAUCUGUUGUUGGGUGGACAGAUGCUUGGUGAGGCUUUAUAUCCCCUAGUUGACCAGUUGGAGCACGAGUCAGCAGCUAAGGUGACAGGCAUGCUUUUGGAGAUGGACCAGACUGAAGUUUUGCAUUUGCUCGAGUCGCCGGAGGCUUUGAAGGCCAAAGUGGCAGAGGCCAUGGAGGUCCUGAGAAAUGUUGCCCAACAGCAGGCUAACAGCAGCGCUGAUCAACUAUCUUCAUUGUCUCUGAAUGACAACCUUGUCUCGUAAAUGAGAAGUGUGGCAUCUGGUGUUUCCUUGCUAUGUGGGGAGUCUUUGGCAUAAGUUUUCGUUUGAUGUUGGAGUGAUUGUAGCUUUUUCAAAAUUAGAACCUAGACUUAAUUUCCUCCUGCAAUUUUUUGUUUUUGUUUUUGGUUUUUGGUUGUGUAGGAUUUUUACUGUUGCUACAUUUGGCGUGCAUCAUGGAUUCAUGGUUUUGGUUAAUUUAAUGACUUUAGACAUUUUCUUAAAUUUUUUUUGUAGUCUUUUCUUAUUUUAAUCGUUUUGUUUUGAAAUUUUAAUUUUUCCCCUAGAUUCUUUUUAGCCUUUCACUAUUUAUCCGAUUCAUUAUGGUAAUAUUCCGAAUUCUAUUACGAUUCGGAUGGGUAAAAUAAUGGAAAUGAAUUGGCGAGUCGAAGGGAACUUGGAGGUGUGUGUUUGGCCGGAAACAAAAGCGCCCUUUGAAAGCGACAAGGAAUUCUGAUUCUUUGCUAGUCUUUUAACUGCAUUAAUGACCAAUUUGUAUAAAAAGUGUUGCAAAUUCUUGGAUGUUGCCAUUGUCCACAAAUGUCUAUCCGAUAUGACAUGUGGCGUAUUACGGGACGGCUCUCAGAGGCUAGCAAUUGAGACUUAAAAUAAUGAGCCUGCCUCUGUCGAGAGGCUAGCUAGGUCUUUUGGGUGAUUCAGACGGCAACCAAAAAAGAAGAAAAAGGAGGAGGAGAGAACCCAACAACAAUCUCCCUCAGCUCAAGGUUUUCUUCUUGUUCUUUUAAUAAGCUGCUGGGUUGUUAAUUAGAUAAUAGUUAUAUGGGUAAUAUUGGGGUGGGAAUGGCUGUAUAUAUUCCUUAAUAAGCUGUUGUGUGGUUAAUUUGUGAAGGAUAGAUGAUAAUACAUAUAUUAGUUGGUAGCAGUGGCGAAUCCAGGAUUCUCGGGCCAAUGCUCUUUUAAAAACUUUACAUUAUAGUUUCAUAAAUCAUUUAUUUUUUAAUAAUUUUAGGCACUUUUGUUUAUGCCUUAUCUAAAAGAGAAUAUCAUUUUUUAUAAAGAAUAAAAUUACAAUGUAUAGAGACUACAAUUAUCUUUUAAAUUUUUUUUAAAUGAAACUAACCCAACCCCCUACUUUGAAAAAGAAAAUUAAAAACAAAAAACAAAAAACAAUAUCUCUCAUUUUCUUUUAAAAAUAAAAUAAAAAAUACUACAUAUAAUAUAACAUGUUUGCUGUUGUUAGCGUCCCCCACUUUAAUACUUCUAAUAUUAUAUUUUUAUGUUGUUUUCAAAGCAAAAUAGGCAUUCAGAAAAAACAAAAAAACAAAAAAACAAAAAAACAAAAAACAAAGAAGAGACUAGCUCACGACACAGCACGAAUCAAAUAUACUCUUUUUUCCCCCUCUCCAGUCAAACUCUCUGUCGGUGGCUCUUCUUCCAGGGACUAUUUUGCGCCUCUGGGUUGCAACACAAAUUUCUUUUGAUCUGCUCUACCUUGUCUUUCCUUUUCUCUGUCCAAAAUUAAAACUCACCCACCCAUUACCAUUGCAGUAAUCCAUCAACCAACCUCUCUCUCUGUCUUUGGGGACUUUCAUCGAGCACGUUCAUUGCAUUCAAGGGUCAACAAGCUGCUGGCUAAGGGGUCUGCAACUGCUCUCCUGCGACCUCCACAGCCAAACGGCGGCAUCCCAGGGGGUCAAUUGACCCCUCUUGUCCCUUGGUGCAUCCGUUUGUGGGGUCAAGCGACCCCUCUUGUCCCUUAAUCCGUCCGCCCCUGGUUGGUAGUUGGUACUUUGUUUCCUUGGAUAUGUUCAAAGUUGGUGACUGUCUUCUCAUCUUUGCAUAUACUACGGGCAAAUUAACACUUGCACUAAACAAUUAUAUAUCCAGGAACUGCAGCCCACGUCUGCAACUGCAUAUAAAACCAGAAUAGCUAAGCAGAGGUGGAAAUAUCGAGAAAUUGAAACAGCUCACUGCGCGUGAGUUUUUUUUUCUGUAAAAUGAAUUCCCCAAGUGUCAAAUACAUUUCAGAAUGCUUUGUCCAGCCACACCAUGCCUCAGAAGAAUCAAAGCAGCCCUUCUACUUGACCCCCGGUGAUCUGGCCAUGCUCUCCGUGCACUACAUUCAAAAGGGCCUUCUCUUUUCCAAACCACCAGAAGCAAAACUGGGACAGGAGGAUUUCACCAAUUCUCUGUUGGAAAGGCUCAAACACUCUCUUUCCAUUGCACUUGUUCAUUUCUACCCAUUGGCAGGUCGCUUUGUGACCGAGAAGAACGAAGACCCGCCUUUGUAUUUGGUAUAUGUAGAUUGCAACAACAGCCCUGGAGCCAAAUUCAUAAAUGCAACUCUGGACAUGUCAAUUUCUGACAUUCUUUCACCAACUGAUGCGCCUUUGGUGGUUCAAUCGUUUUUUGAUCAUGACAGGGCGGUCAACCAUGAUGGGCACACUAUGUCCUUGCUAACCAUUCAGGUCACAGAGCUGGUAGAUGGCAUUUUUAUAGGGCUUUCCAUGAAUCACUGUCUUGGUGAUGGAACCUCUUACUGGCAUUUCUUCAACAUUUGGUCUGAGAUCUUUCAAGCACAAGCACAAGGAGAUCAUAAUAAUUUUGUACCCAAAAUCUCAAGACCACCAGUCCUCAAGCGCUGGUUUCCAGAUGGUCAUGGCCCAAUUAUCAAUCUCCCUUUCAAACACUCGGAUGAGUUCAUUGGCAGAUAUGAAGCUCCCAAACUCAGGGAGAGAAUGUUUCACUUCUCCUCGGAAUCCAUAGCCAAACUCAAAGCAAAGGCCAAUGCAGAAUCCAAUACCACCAAAAUCUCUUCCUUCCAGUCCUUGUCUGCCCUGAUGUGGAGGUCUAUUACUCGUGCGCGUGGUUUACCCCGAGAUCAAGGAACCAACUGCAGGCAUGUUUCCUUCAAUACAUUCCACUCAGAAUUCCCAAGUAGUUUUCUGUUUCUUGAUAUUUUCAUAAACAUCGAUAUUUAAUACCUUGGUUGCAGGUUGGCUGCGAAUAACAGAGGAAGAUUAGAGCCACCAUUGUCUGGAGAUUAUUUUGGGAACUCAAUUCACCCGAUUAGAUCAGAAAUUGUCCCAGCUGGUGAGUUGCUUGAACAUGGGCUUGGAUGGGCAGCGUGGAAGUUGCACGAAGCGGUAGUUAACCACAAUGACAAGUUGAUAAGGGAACAUGUUGAUGGCUGGCUGAAGUCUCCAGCUGUUUACCAACUGAGUUUCUUCGAUCCAUUCAGUGUGAUGAUGGGGAGUUCACCGAGGUUCAACAUGUAUGGAAAUCAGUUUGGAAUGGGAAAAGCACUAGCGCCUAGAAGUGGUUAUGCAAAUAAGUUUAGUGGGAAAGUGUCAUCGUACGAAGGCCGCGAAGAAGGAAGCAUAGACUUGGAGGUGUGUCUUCCACCUGAUGCAAUGAGUGCUCUUGAAUGUGACAGUGAGUUCAUGGAAGCUGCCUCUUUACCCCUUUAUUAGUGACAAGUGAUCAUAUGAAUAAGAAUCAUGCAAUCUGCACAAUGUUUAAGUAGAGUUGAGAAUAAUAUGAAUAUGCAUAUGCUUAAUUUGGUAGUGGAAUGAUAGAAAGGUGUGUGGAAGGAAGAAUGAGAAAAAAUGGAACAGAAAAAGAAUAUUUCAUUAAAAAGCACUUAGUUCAAAAGAUAUGAAUAAGGUGUAUAUGGAAUUUACACAUUCAACCAAAUCCUUAGCCGUUCAGCCAAAAAUCAUUUGUUAGUAACUUUGUGCUAUUUUAAACAUAAAAAAUAUUGUUAUGACUAACAAGAUAUGACGGAUGAUUGUCACAUUUUUUAUAAUUAUCCACAUAAUAAUAAUAUGGAGGCAAAAGCCAAGGGCGGCCCUAGGUGGUGCAAGUGGCGCCACCGCACAGGACAUCAAAAAAAUAUUCUUUAUAUUAUAUUAUAUUAUAUAUAUAUAUAAAUAUAUUAAUAUUAUAGGAAUUGUAUAUAUAGUAUAGCAUUGUUGUUGCAUUUGUGUUUAAUACAAUAUAAUUUAAUUUGUUAAUGACAUUUGUGUGCAACUACUUUUUAAUUUUUGAUUGCCAAUUUUUUUUCCUAUUAAACACAGAUUGCUUAUUAGAGGCAGCAAGGGACCUUAUAGGGGCACAAAUAGCUUAUUUUUGUACCAAGCAUUUAAUUUUAUCUAAUAGAAACAUUUAAAUUUUUAUGAAUUUGAUUUCUGAUUGUCAUUACAUACUUAUUGAUGGUGACUUUUUAGUUAUAAAAAAAAUUGUUUAUGACAUUAAGUUAUGGAAAAUUUUUAUUUAUAGUAUUUUCGUAUUAGAUUAUGUGAUGCUCCAAUUUAAGUUUCGCACAGGGCUCUCAAAAUCUCAAAGACGACCCUAGCAAAAGCCAAAGUAGCAAGCAUGUGGUUGCUUGGCAUGAGCACAAGAUUAAAACGUUAUGUUUUUAAAUGACAAGAAAAAAAAUGUAAAGAAAUGUUAACAUACCUUGGGUGGACAGAUGCUUGGUGAGGCUUUAUAUCCCCUAGUUGACCAGUUGGAGCACGAGUCAGCAGCUAAGGUGACAGGCAUGCUUUUGGAGAUGGACCAGACUGAAGUUUUGCAUUUGCUCGAGUCGCCGGAGGCUUUGAAGGCCAAAGUGGCAGAGGCCAUGGAGGUCCUGAGAAAUGUUGCCCAACAGCAGGCUAACAGCAGCGCUGAUCAACUAUCUUCAUUGUCUCUGAAUGACAACCUUGUCUCAUAAAUGAGAAGUGUGGCAUCUGGUGUUUCCUCGCUAUGUGGGGAGUCUUUGGCAGAAGUUUUCGUUUGAUGUUGGAGUGAUUGUAGCUUUUUCAAAAUUAGAGACUAGACUUAAUUUCCUCCUGCUCCUGCAUUUUUUGUUUUGUUUUUGGUUUUUGGUUGUGUAGGAUUUUUACCGUUUGUUACAUUUGGCUUGCAUCAUGGAUUCAUGGUUUUGGUUAAGAGUUUUUAUCAAAAAUAGUUAAAAUUUACCUGAUACUUUCAUAAAUGUCCAUUUUGAUAAAAUUUUUCAAAAAUAGUUAAAAACUCACGUAAAUAGACUAAAAUGCCCUCAAAACUUAAACCCACAUAAACC
rnacentral:lncRNA from 1 species